rnacentral:lncRNA from 1 species
AAAAAGAAUAUAAUAUAAUUGAUUGUCAAUAGCUGCUAACAUUAUAAACAUAACGUGUGUGGUCAUUAAUAGAGACAAUAUUUGUAGCAUAAGUCUGUAACAGAAGUGGCAGCAAGUGAAUUCAAAAUAAGUAGAAACUAGUAAAUGAUAAUUAAUCUAACCUUGCAAAUCAUAUAAUUUAAAAAAUCUAACCUUGCAAAUCAUAUCAUUUCAAAACCAAAUGGAUGGUCUAUUGCCAUUACAAAGUCAAAUAGCAGGUUUUUCAAAAUUACAUCUAAUGGUUAUUCAAUUUUAGAACCUAUGAGCAUAAUAUUUAAUUAAUAUUAACUAGAUUCAACAGAAUUGAAAAAAAACUUCAAGCAUAUUUCGAUGGAAUCAUACACAACUAACAACUCUAACAUCUAAUUGAGGUUACUGACAAAUAGAUAAUUCAUUUUAAAUUAGGAAGAAAUUAACAGAAUCAACAUCAGUUAAAAAAAGUCUAACAUAAUUACUAACAAAUACAAACAGAACUAACUAAAUGCAACUUAAUGAUUUAGAGUAAAUUUCAGAUAUUUGAUAUGAAUUCCAAUUUCAUUUGAAUGAUAAUUCCUAACUAACUAUCAAAUUUGGGAGGAAGUUCAUUGUGAAUUUCAACCUAAAUUCUAACCAACACAGAAUUAUAUAAAAAUGUACCGUACUGAGAUUCUGCAGUUUCUUCAAAAAAAACUUCGAAAUCUUCAAUCCUUCACUCUUUCAGUCUCGUUUUCUUCACCUUCUCGCAAUUGAUUCAUCAUGCAUUUCCGUUUCAGAUCCUCGCGCCGCCAAGCUCACACCGUACAUCGAUCUACAACUUCACCAUAAAAGCGGUUCUACUGUCGCCGAUUGUCGCCGCGUCAGAGUUCCAUUCCGGUAAGACGCAACGGUCUCGGCGAUUCCGUCGUGGCUGUGAAUAAGGUUUCUUGUUGUUUGGUUGUGUAUUUCGUCGGACAACCAACAGUUUGUUGUGAGGCGAAGGAAGGGGGUUUCCGGCAGAUGAGGUUUCGUGGAGGGAGCUCGUCGGUAGUGAUAUUGUUGUUCGACGGUGUGGUUAUGAAGUGGUUCUUUGGUUGAUGGAAGACGGUGAAGUGAAGCACGGUAAAGUAGGUUGGGUUUGCCGGCGGCGAAGGUGAAGGGUUGUUGAUGACGGUGUGUGAGCAAGCUUUUCCCCGGUAUUGGUGGCGGAUGGAGAGAGGAUGGGGUUUGGUUUUUGUGUGUUGAAGUGGAGAUGAAGGAAGAAGAAGGUUAUGGUGGUGGCUUGCGUUUCGUGGACGGAGAUGUGGGGAGCGGCGAUGAGGGUUUGUGUUGAGAGAGAGAGCUUCUUUUUCGUCCCGUUGAGAGAGUGUGGAGAGGGGUAUUUGUUGGUCAGUGGAGAUGAAGGAGGUCCCCUCUCCUUUUUUAUUUUUUAUUUUCUUUUUCUUUUGAGAGCCGUUGGAGUCUCUUUCUCUUUUGUCUUUAUUCGCCCCCUUUAACCAAAAGCCACAUGUCUUAUAUUGUACCGAUAGAGGAGAAAGAUUUUCUCUUGGUGACAGCUGUGGGAUAUGAACGAAUUCUUCUUUUAUUAUUUGAAUUUUGGAGACUAAUUUUCUUUUUUUUAAAAAAAUUAACUAAGGCAAAAAAAAAAGAUUUAAAUAUAAUAUUGAAAUGAUUUCCAUUUAAAUAUAGUUGUUAUCUUAACUUAAAAGCAAAACUAAAAAGGAUUAUCAACGAAUAAAAAUCGGAUAAAAAUACUUGAAAAUUUAAAUUAGAUACACUAAAAUGAUCAACGCGAAAUAAAUUUAUUGAAAAAAUACAGCGUUUCUUUAAAUUUUGAAAUAGAUUUGCACCGGUUAAAAGACUCAGGCGGGUCAAAAUGCAACUGAAUCAGCUGCUGGAAAAUACAACGAGCACACCAAGUUAAACUACAUGAACCGUAGAUUAAUAAUAUUGGCGUCUGCAAUUUUAAAAUUUCGAAACUUUUUAUCCGCUCAUUUUGUUCGUAUAUGAGGAAAUGAUUCAACCGAUUUGUCUGUAUUUUCAAUAAAUUUAUUCUGACUGAUAUUUUAGUUUUUAUUCAUGAUGGAAUGCAUGUCAUGCUGUGCAUAUGAUGCAAAUUAAAAAUGAAAUCGAUUUUACAAAAAUUUAAAUAUGCCCGGACAAAAUUGGGGUAUGACAAGGGCACCGUACAUUACGAUAUUCCUUAGUUACUCUAUCUCUCAUCAAUCCGUCCUUUGUGUGUGACCCUAUAGGUUUUCGCGACAUUGGCAAUUAUAUUAAAUCACAUAUUUAACAUAAUAGACAGUGAGCGGUAUCUAGUAACACAUUAUUGCUACCCAAGACACGAAAAUGUCAUGUGAUAUGACAAAUCCUUCUGUGAUAAUAAUUAUAUGUAUAAUUACCCUUUUGCCCUUAUGUCUAUAUUGAACACAAGGCAUAGACCGUGUCAUCCUUGUCCAGUUCAAUAUUGGACCCAUAGACAUUUAUUCCUGUUACGCAGGAUGGCAAAUUCAUCUAGGUCAUCAUGUCCCUUAUCAUUGCUUCAAUGAGUACCCAUCAACUGUCUUUAUGGUCAUCCAGUUAAGGACAAUGUUUGAUCAACAAUAAGGCACUCGACUCUACAUCUAGGUCCAUAGUGGUUUCAGGUCCAAGGGUGGUAUACACAUCAUUAUCACCAUGAGAAAACUUAUGACACUUUGUAUAACAUUCUAUAUAGUAUCUCAUAGCGGGUCAAUCCAGUAUAAAUAUCACUCUUAAUAUUCAUACCUAUGUUAAGAUUGAUAACUCCUUAUCCAUGAUCCAUUAAGAUGUGAUCAUCAUCUAAUACAUAAUAGUCUUAAUGCUUUAAUGUUAUCCCACUUCACAAUAAAGCUCGACUAUGGAUACUUUAAGAAUAAUGUCCUUAUGUUUAAUGUGAUCUCAUGAUUAAGUCACAAUUGAUACCUUAAACGGACUAUCUAUUCUAGGGACUUUAUAAGACAAACAUAAUAAAGAAAAAACCUUUUAUUAUUAAUAAAUAACUCGAUACAAGUACCAAAAGUAUUGGCCUCUAGGGCUUACACCAACAGUGUCGACAAGGGAGUAGCGUGAAACGGCGGACCGUGUUGACAAAUCUUGGGUUCAACAAGUGUGUGCUUGGGAUUAAUUCAGCCGAGUAAAAUCCUUGAGACAAGGAGGUCGUGCAAGGAAGAAACAACAACAGGUGGAUUGAAGUGGCAAUGUUGGUGACUUGAUCAAUCUUUGAUCAAGGUUUUUGGAGGUUCUAGAGUCAAGUUCAAACUUAGGGUUUAUGGGAUUUGAUUUCUCAUCUCUUGUAUUCAUACAUUUGCAAAGUAAGAUUUAUUAUAUUAAUAUCUCAAUUCAAAUUAGAAUUGAGGGCAAACGUACCCAUAGCGAGGUCGAUUUUGGAACCACCUAAACAAAUCCUUGCGUACUCUCUCUCUCUCUCUCUCUCUCUCUCUCUCUCUCUCUUAUUUUUCAAUUCGCAAAUUAUUGAUUGCUUUAAUCAUCGGAUUAACAUAGUUUGGAUCAUAAUUUUGAUUACAUUUUGAAUCUUGUGUUUGUUGUAUUGAUCAUUAACCAUUUGGUUGUGAUUGUAUUUCUUAGAACAACAAACACCAUCUAAAAUUCCAAACUUUGUUUUUUGCACACCAAGUGUUCGACAAAUUGUUUGACUUAGGUUUUUGUGUGUGGAUAUCGUUGGAGAUAGAAUUUUACUAUUGUAGAGUAUUCAAUUUAGUUUUACUUAAUAGUUGUUGAUUGACAUGUGGAUUAUUAUCAUUUUAUUGGUACUAUUAUGCAUAUAUGGGCUUUUCAAUAGUAGGUUCGGUUAGACGAUUUUGGAUCCGGGAAAUAUUUGAAACUUGCUUUCGUGCCAAGAGCUUUCUAAAUCAAAUUUUCAAUAAAUUUUUAACUUGGGAUCUAUUCACCCCCUAUAGAUCUAGGCCUAUCAACUAAAAACACUAUCUAAAUUUGCAUUCGAAUUAAGGGCAUACGUACCCAUAAUGAGGUUGAUUGGGAAACUGUCUAAAGAAAUCCUUAUGUACUCUAUUGAUCACACACUAAGUGUUAGACAAAUUACUUCACUUGAUUUUUUUUUGUGAAUUUUAAUUGGAGAUAGAAUUUCCCUAUUACUUUGCAUUCAACUAAUUAUGAUUAGUUGUUGUUGAUUGACUUGUGAAUCAUUAUCAUACCGUUAUCUUUAAUAUGCAUAUUUGAGCUUUUUGAUAGUGGGUUCAGUUAUUCAAUUUUUGAUCCAGGAUAUUUGUAACUUGCUUCCGCACCAUAAAAUUUUCAAUCUAUCUUUUGUCAAUUUCUUAACUCGGGAUCUAUUCAUCCAUCUAGAUCUAGGCCUAUCGUCUAACGAGUGGUAUCACAAGCUUCAGUUAAUUCAUUGCUUAAGAUUUUCUUAUUAGAUAAUGACCACCAAACCUAAAAUGGCGUACAAUAAAGCACCAAUUUUCACCAACAAAAAUUAUGGCUAUUGGAAAGCUUGUAUGCAUAUUCAUAUAAACUCGAUUGAUAAGGGUGUAUGGUACAUAAUCAUCAAUGGUCCUCACGAAAUUACUAUGACCAAUGGUGAAGGCGUCGUCGUACCAAAAUCAGAAAAGCAAUGGAAUGAUAAUGAUAAGAAAUUGCAGUCUUACGAUUGGAAAGCAUAAAACAUUUUCAUAUCCGUACUCGGUAUUGAUGAAUUUUAUCGUGUUUCCCAUUGUGAAACCACCAAGGCUAUGUGGGACACAUUACAAGUUACCCAUGAGAGAACUAAUGAGGUCAAACAAGCUAGGAUCAACAUAUUGCAUUAAGAGUUUGAACUCUUUCGUAUGAAGCAUGGUGAAACCAUUUCCAUGCGAAAUAGGUUCACCCAUCUUAUUAACAGGUUGAACUCUCUAGGUAAGCCUAUUUCUAAUGAUAUUGCUACAAAUAAGGUUUUGAGAUGUCUUAAUAGGGAAUGGAAACCCAAGGUCACCGCUAUCAAACAUACGAAUGAUCUUAAGGUACUUGAUCUCACCAUUUUGUUUGGAGAGUUGGAAGAACAUGAGCAAGAAUUCAGUUGCUUGAAGAAACACAAGAAAGAGCAUGAGAAAAUUGUAAAGAAGGAGAAAGGUAAAGAUAAGGUGGAAGAGGCGAAGUCUAUUUCUCUAAAUACUUCUAGCUCAAAGCCCUCAUAUAUUAAGCAAAGUUAUUAUGAAACAAGGGAUGACAAGAACUUCGAUGAUGAGGACAUAUGAUUGUUUUUCAAAAGGUACCAAAGGUAUAUAAGGGAAAUGGAGUCAAGCACUAUGACAAGAACUUAGACAAGUUUAGAAGGGUAACAAAAUCCUCAAGGGAAGAUGAGAACAGUAAAGGUAAACUUAUAAGUUAUUGCUACAAUUGUGGAUAGUUUGGUCACUAUAGACUAAAAUGUCCUAAGAUUAAGAAAGACAAAGACAGAGGCCAUAAUAAGAAAUCUAGCAAGUCUAGAAGAGCCUAUGUUGCUUGGGAGUGUGAAAAUGAUAUCUCAAGUGAUGAAAGCUCUACUUCAAGUGUAGAAUUGGCCCGGAUUUUCCUCAUGGCAAAUAGAAAGAACAAUAAAAUUAUAAGUCUUUCUAAGCUUGAAUCUAUUAAUGGCUAUCUUAUCUUUAAUUAUAAAAAUCUUUAGAAGAUGUUAAAUUGGACGUUAUCAAUCCUAAUUCUAGAUGGAACCUAAACAAGGAAUGAUUAUGUAUAGUUUGUGUGUGUGUAUGCAUAGAAUAAGGUUGAAGAUGAUGAGAAUGCUUUGAAAUCCCGGUUUCAUGUAGGUUUGCUCUAGAACCUUACUAGAAAUGAUGCUUGUAUCAAGUAUAUAUAUGUAAGCAAGUAUGAAGCAAAAGUAAUUCAAAAAGAAUAGAAAAUAAUUCAAAAUUUCAUGAUUUUUAAUGUAUGUGUCUACCUAUGUAAUUCGUGUGUCGACACAUAGGACGCAUGAGUCAACUCGUAGAAGCCAUGCAUUGACCUGUAAAGGUUAUGUCCCGACCUAUAGAGGCGACACAUCAAACAUAGCCUACAGGCUUUAAAAAUGCAGUACACAAGUCGACCUGAAAAACGUAUGUGUCGACCUAUAGAGGGUAUGUGUCGACACACAACUAUUUUUCACAUGAAAAUGAAUUUUUGAUGCAUGAAACAUUUUCUCUUAUGCAUGAAACCUUUUGUUUGAUGCAUUAACCUUUUCUAACAUGUUGUUAUGCUUCUUAAUGCUAAAAUUCACAACUAGACUCAGAGGAUAUCGUUUAAUGUACAUAAACGCUAAAGUAUCAUAGUUUUGACAUCAUACAAAAUACAUCUAAUAGAAAGUUGCACUCACAUGGCUUUCCUUUGAAGGGAUAUUAGGUGAUUUUAGAACCUUCCCCCAUCGAACUUUCAAAUACUAGGCUUGGUAAGGUCAUAUGGAGAUAGCUAGGGGCCAAUGUUGGAACAAAUGGAUAGUGUUUUAUAUGAUCUAACUCUAUGUCGAAUACGUAACAUUUGAAAUAGACACAUUUAUGGGUUUCUCGACUAUUGGUCUGUGAGCAUCAAUGCCUUCAUCUUCCCACCAAGAAUCAUCACCAAUAUCCUUAUUGUCAUGGUGAAACAUCAUUUGUUCAUAAUGCUCAUAUGCCCUAUUAGGAUUCAAUUUUUAAAAUAAUAGAUUAUAGUAUUCCAAUAUAUUAGGGUAUUCCAAUACAUUAGGGUAUUCCAAAUUCUUGGUAUUUAAUACCAAAUCAUAAUGUGAUGCUACUAAUAGAGAUCAUCAUGCUUAUUUCUAUAACAUCGUUAGGAACAAUAAAUAUAUGAUUCCCUUUUGAGUUAUGGGGAGGGGGAGGACAAUAACUUAGGCCUAAUGUUUUUAUGUAUUCAUUCUCUCUCUCUCUCUCUCUAAUAUUUUGGAUCAGAAAAUCAGAAAGAAAGAUACCAAACUUUUUAAAGGUCUUGUCGAAUAUUUAACAUAUUCACUUAUAUGAGUGUUUAGGGGGAUCCUUAGUUUGGUAUCCUCUACAACCUCACUCCGCCACAUCGAUUAUUGAGAAGUUGUGUUCACUUAGUGGGACAAUUGUCAGAGCUUUGGGGGAUAACCAUUAGAGUCCUUAUUUUAUCCAAACCUUGUAUACCUUUUUGAGUUAUCGAUUAUCAUUUAUGGUUCUAGGGGGCUUUGGUCGAGUGCUUUCUUGGCUACCAUGAGAGCUACACCAUGUGAUGUUUGCAUCUUAUGGCUUGCUUCAUUAGAAGCCUAUGGAUCAGGAUUCCUGGAGGCAUCAGGCAUUCCGUAAGGUAUAGGAAAAUGAAAUGACUUUUCUAACUCUUAUAGGUCGUUGUAAUAGUCCAUAAUUAUCUGUCUAGGAUAAUAACCAUUGAUACUAAUAUUUGGUACUAGAUACAUCAAUGUAAAUAUCUGGAAGUGAAACAUAUUAAUUUUUUUUACAAUAAUACAAUCAUGAUAAGUAGCACAUCAUUAAUCUGAUAAGUCUUUAGCACAACGAAAAUAUCCACCAUUGAUCCUCAGUGCCACGUCCACAAUUGCCACUCCAAUCUAAAUACUUGCUAACUAAAUAAUACAACAAGAUAAGGUGAGAUACUAAUCUUAGUGGAUUCUCGAUUUAAAUCAAUGGAUCUCUCCCUACCCUUCUACCCAUAUCAAGCUCUACUUGAAAAGUCUAUCAUGUAGAUCACAUCCACCCAAUAAAGUCGGACUAUUGAUUAAAAGCCUCAAACCAUCUCGUAGAGGAUUUCCCUAUUUCAUCUUACCUAUAUAAUUAAUAUACUAAAAUAGAAUACCCAUACACCAUGGUUUCCCAAAUUGGCAAGUUAGAACAAAAACAUACUUAAAUACUUGUAAAGGUGUCGUGCUAUAACAUACAUCCUAAAUCUCACACACGGGGAAUCCAUUAUUUGGUUGUGCUAUUCGAGAGAAACAUAUGACUUUAUGCAUCAUGAUAUAUCCAUCCCUUAGUACGUCUAAAUAGAUGACAACAAUCAGUUCACUAGGAGGUCUUCCAACUUACGAAAACCCUUAAUAAAUCAUAACCAGUAAAAGAAAGUACCAGUGACAGUCAAUAUCACUAUAAGAAAAAAAAUGCAUUUUGAGGUGGUUUUUUCUGGAAUUUGCGGCAGUUCAAACCGCCUCAAUACCUUGGUUGCGAUCAUUUAUUAAUAGUCACAAAAUUGUGUGUUGUCAGCAUGUUCUGCGAUGGUUUGAAAUACCGGCACUCCAAAAGGGGUUAUUAUUUGCGACGGUUUAGAAAACACCACCCUAACCGUCCUUAAAUCUUAAGUUGUGAUUGUUUCAAACUAUUGUGAAUUUUAUUUGGUGUUUUGUAACUAUUAUAAAUUCAUAGGUAAAACCACAAGUAUUUUCACAUCUAAAUCCGCAAGAAAAGUUUAAUCCGCAAGUAAAUUUACAGAUAAAUUUGCAGCUAAUAUAUUUCUAAAAUUUAGAAAAAAUUAUAUUUAUUUGUUAAAUAAGAAAAAACCUAAAAAAAAUUAUAUUUAUUUGGUUCUGUUAAAUACAAAAAAUACUAACGAUUCAAAAACACAAAAGAUAAGUUGCUGCUUUAUGCUAAACAAUUCAAAAGAGAAUAAAAGUUAGCAGAACAUGUAUAAGAAAGUUAAAAGAACAUGUACAAGAAAGAACAAGUCAAGGAUUAAUGAAACAAAAAAAAGUGCAUAAUUAAUUUAAUUUAAGCCUCUAAUUUGUAUUUGAAUGUAUCCAUAGUUUCUUCCAAUAUGUAUACCACAAAAGAAACAAGGUUGUUGCAGUAAUCAAUAACAGAGAACAAAUAUGAAUUUCAAGUUUAUAUUAUGAUAAUUCCGGAAAUAAAUGAUCGAGAACAAUUAAAUACCAACACACAGGCACAAAAUUUGUACACUGUUCUUUGCAAGUUAUGAAGAUUACAGUUGCAGUUUCAUCUCCAUCAACACAUUCGGCAAUUCGAGUGGGACAAGAAACUAUCGCCGAAUAUCGACCACCAUGGUUGGAAACAAUCACAACCUUCAUCGUCCAUAAGAGUGUGUCUAUUUGUUCCAUGUUUCAGCAGAUCGACCUUAAAGAACAUUGCUUUUUGCUUUGUCGUUUGUGUCAGCAUGGAUUCAUAGCUUGCAAUUCAUCUUUCUGUCCAAAAGAACCAAUUAAUCAAAGUUGAUCGCACAAGAUAGGCUACAAUUAACAUGCAAUGAUUUUAUAAACUAAAGAAUGGAUGUUCGAAAGAAAAAAAUCUAAAAUAAGACAUAUUCAUAAAGUUGAAGUUCCAAAUUAAAAAGGCAAAAGAAAACUUGUCUGUAAGUUGAUUAAAUUUGAGAGCCUAAUGCUCUAUUAUCUUCUUGUACUUGAAUUAUGCUAACCUUUUUUCCACUGUACAAAUAAACCAACAAAUAUGCAAUAAUAUAACUUAGAUGAAGCAAGUUGGUUACAUAGGAACUGCAAAUGACCAUCUUGUUAGUGAUUCUGCUUGGUUUGAUUAUUUAAAUAAGCUGACCAUUUCCCUAGAAUUAAAAAUCAUGAAGUAACGGAUUAUAUUAGCACUUCUAUUUGAAAUGAGUUUCCCACUAUUUUUAUCAAUGUUAAGUAGAUCAAAAAAAUCAGUAGUAUAAUUAUACCCAUUAAAGCACUUGAUUUUGCAGCACCUAUGAAUCUCAAAUGAAUAACUCCUACAUAAAAUAUUAAUUCAUUUUUUCAUCUUCAUUCAACACUCUAAAACUCUAAAAUUGCAUUCCUAGGAAGAUUUGAGUCUCCAAUAUUUUAGUAUGAAUGAUAAUAUUGUCAACCUUAGUGUUCAACAGCCUAAAUACCUCAUUGGUGAAGAGGUUUUGAUUUCUAAACUCUUUAUUUAAGAGAGUUUGUGUUGCCACAAAAUGUUCCAUCAUAUAUUCUAGGUUAGAGUGAGUUUUGUUUCAAUAAAAUUCUCCAUUAACAUUUUAAGAUUAGAUUGUUGGGAAUUUGGUGGUUUCUCAAGAUACUGGGAGUGGUUAUUAUAGAAUUUUUUUUGUUGAUCCAUCCACCAUAGAUUAUAGGUAUUAGGAUAAAAGUCUCGAUGGUCAUUGUUCACACACUUGAAAGUAUUUUGGAUAGAUCCCAUGCAUGCCAUAAAAGAAAGAGCAGAAAAGAAAAAGUUGUUAUAAUAGGCUAAAAAAAAUCAAAAACAAGUUCUUCGCAAAACAGAGGCAUCGAGAACCACAACAAACAAACACAAUAUAAACAAAUAGACAAAUAAAGCUCUAGUCUAUACAAUGACUAAACGGAAAUUCAAUAUUAAACGCAAUUAGUCCCCGACAACUGCGCCAAAACUUGAUGCAGCCGCAAGUGCACAGUUGUCGCGAAGUAAUAUAAUGAUAUCAAACCACAGGGACCAAUGAUUUAAGUAUCGAAUCCUUAUCCAAUAAGUGUAUAUCUAGAGAAAUAAAAAAGAGAGGUUUUAGUAAAUAACUUGAAUGAAAAAGCAAUUAAAUAGAAAUAGCAGAAAAAACACUUAAAUACCAAAUUAGGGCAAACAUGUUCGGGGUUACGGUUCAUAUUUCUAACACCAUCAUAACAUUCUCGUUAAACCUAUUGCGAGUCUUUUGGACAAAUUAUAGAAAAUAGAUAAAAUUGGGCACUAUCUACUUUCGUUAACGCAUUGCCCCUAUAAUCGACGAAUAAUUGGUUGGCUUUCGCAUCGUCCGGAUUAUUAUUCAAUGAGUAAUUACUUUUACAUAGCUAUAUGUUUUCUCAAAUUCGUCCGUCGACUUUCGCAUCGUCCAAAUUAGGUUGUUUAAAAAUUUACGCUCCGGUAUCGACACAUAUCCUUUCAGACUACGGUCGAUACCCGAGAAUCACUUACUUUCGUAACGAAGUUGGAAUGCAUGCACUCAUAUUAUAAAAAAAAAAGUUUAAUUAAAAUUAUCGCAAUCUAUAACAAUAUAUCAUACAAUAGAUCAUGAAACAAUCCCCAUAACAUGUAGUUCAUAGGAAACUACUCACUCAUGGUGAGGAAGAAAACAACCACUUAGGUGUUCAUUAUCAAACUCAUAUCAAUCACACAAAACAGACGAACAAUAUAGAGAAUGAAAAGAAAACCUGGAUUGUAUUAUAAACUUGUUCCACAAAUUUCUCCCUUGAAGACUUGAUUUACAAAGAGAAAAUAAAAACUGAAACUUUAGAAAACUAGGAGAAAGAAAAUAGAAAACUUGGAUGCCCUAAACUCAUAAUAGGUGUCGCGCUGUGAAAAAUACCCGAGCGCAUCACACUCUCGAAGAUACAACAGAGUCUCCACCGAACUUUAUUUAUUCCAAAGGAAAGGGAAAAUAUCGAUAAAACACAAGGGGAAGAGAAAUGGGUAAGGAAGUCGGUUAUGCAAGGAAAUUGUAUUAGCACCCCUCACAUUCGUUGUACUCAAAGAGAGCCAUUUUGAUUGUUCUUUGCACGAAUGAGUUACUUGUGAUUGAUCUUAACUAAGGGAAAAAAAUUAGUUUAUUAAUUAAUUUGCUCGCCAAAGUUUUGAACCCUCACUACGUAUUCUCAUAGUACAAUGAGAAAAUCAGAACUCCGUAGUUUAUGGUAGAAAACUACAAAUUUGUUGGUUGUUUUUAGGGAACAAUUAUAAUCGUAUCCUAUAAGUGUUUUGGUGUUAGCUGGUUUGAUCCUUGUUCGAAUGCUUUAAGCUUUUACUAUGACUGCUAAGGAACGAAUUAUAACAGUUCUUUUAUGAAAAAUGGGGGGAAAAUUUGCUUUGGAAAAGGUGUUCUGAUUGAAUUGAAUUGAAAGAAGCAUUUGUUAAAUGAAAAUGUGAAUUUGUAUUGAAGUAUGGUGAAAGUAUUGUUUUGACCAAAGGGUGUGGUGAAAGUAUGGUGAAAGUAUGGUGAAAGUAUUGUAUUGUUCUGAACCAAAGGGUGUGGCAUUUAACCAAUAGAUAGUGAUUAGUCAGUGCAGAGUUGUAGGGUUUUGUGUAGAUUCAGGUUUCAAGACAUACAAGAAAAUGGUAUUUUCCUAAGCACAGAGCUUACAGGACAUGAAUGAUUUACCUAAGCACGAAUCUUACAUGACAUGAAUGAUUUGCCUAAGCACGAAGCUUACAGGGCAAUGCAUGAAACAAUUUGCCUAAGCACGAAGCUCACAGGGCAGUGCAUGAAAAGGUUUUCCUGAGCACGAAGCUCAUAGGGAAAUGCAUGAAAAGGUUUGCCUAAGCACGAAGAUCACAAGGAAAUGCAUGAAAAGGUUUGCCUGAGCACGAAGCUCACAUGGCAAUGCAUAAAAAGGUUUGCCUGAGCAUGAAGCUUAAUGGCAAUGCAUAAAAAGGUUUUAACCAUGAGAAAGUUAUUAACUCAAAGAGAUGGGUAUGGUUCAAAUAUGGGUGCUUAACCAUGAGAAGGUAAUUAAUACAUAUAGAAGGUGAUUAACCAAGAGAAGGUGAUUAACCUCGAGAGUGUAUGGAUAUCCAAAGAGAAUUGUGUUCGAUCCAAAGAGAAAGGUGUGGUUGGAGAUUGUUGAAGUGUCGUCUAUGGUGAAGAAAGUUUGAAAUUUAUUUGAUUUGAAUUGCAUUAAAGUCUAUGAACGAAGGCAAAUACUUUGAAUAAUUAGGACUUACGUCCCGUAUUCAAAAAUAUGUAGAACAAGGAUAAGAAAAAUCCCUCUCAUUCUUCUCCAUUGCUUAAGGCUCAUGGCGCAUAAUUCGCAUAAUAACUAACACGUGUUUUGAAAGAAAGAAUAAUCUUUUGUUUUACAAAGGAUGAGGCAAUGUGCUUGAAUGAAUGAAGCUCAUCAUGAUCAAGUCUUGAUGUCCUUCUGUCUUCAAGGUCUUGAUUGUGAAUCUGGAGUUGACUUAAGAAAUCCAGUGCAAUGUAAGUAUAAGAAUCUAAUUCAAUUAAGUGAUUAAGAGACUUAUGAUCACUUGAAUGAAUAUGUAUCCUAAGGGGAGCAUAAAAUUAUUCAUAACAAGUAAUUAAUUGAUCAAAGGUAAAUUUGAUCAACUAAGAAAUCAAGGAUCUGGUCAUAUUAAGAACUAAUUAUUAAGCACAUGAAAAUAUUAACAAAAUUAAAGGUAUUAAAAAUUGGGAUUAACAUGUGUUAAUCCUAAUCUCUAAUGUAUCAUGAAAUGAAAAAAAGAAAACUAACAAUUAAAUCUAUAUAAAAACUACUCCUAAUUAAAUCUAAUCUAAGUAUUAUUUUGAAUUUGACCAAAGAAAUGUGUAUUUUAAUAUGUAUCUAUUUAUGUAUUUUUAUGUGUAUGAAAAAUGUGUGGCAAAACAAUUAAAAGAAAAAUGUAUAACAAUAACUAAUUAAUUAAAGGAUCACUAUGCAGGGGUAUGUUAAGAAAAUAAGGUGUCUGGCUAAGUAAAGGUAGCGCGAAACCCAUACUGAAGGCUCAAGUUAUGUUUUUUGUUGCAUUCAGAAAUACGGGGAGGUGCGUCAGCAAUUUGGAAGUGUUGUUAGCAAAGCCCUUAGGCUUUGUGGCUUGUAAAGCCCAUGAGCGUGUGGCAAAGGAUGAGAGGUGCUCCAGACCCCCUCAUUCACGUUUCAAACUACACAGUCAAAAUUCUCUCCCUCUCUAUCUAACUCUCUUCAUCAGAAAUUUCUCCGCCAUGCCGGAGGCGGGAGAGCAACCUAUCCUGGCCCAUAACAACGAAUAUUAGGACCACCUCACUCUCCUGUUUCCACUUCUUGUAUCAAUUUCUUAUGAAACUCACUCAAACAUCUUAUCCCUCAAACAAACAACAAGAACCCUAAGUCCUAAAUGUAACACCCUAAAUUUUCCCUGUGUAUAUUUAAAACAUUUAUCAGAGUAAAACAAAUCAACAUGCAAUUUAGGAUGCUACACUACAACAUACAAACAACCUGUUUAAUCGAAAAGACAUGUAAUGCUUUGCAGUUAUAAAAGUAGUACUAAUAACCACAUGUCUACAUUUUAACUUUUAUUAAAUCACAUCGGGAUAACUAAAACAAAAAGUUAACUCAACAUAUCCAAUCAUCAACAUAACAUGUCAUAUAAUAAAUGUUAAAACAUAAAGAAGGACACAAUGUUCCAAUUCUCCAGUGUUACACAUCAGAGCAAACAGCAACACAAAAAUAAAAUAGAAGACUUCAUAUUCCACUCAUAUCUAAUCUCCUACUGCGGAUUAUCUGCAUGUUAUCCACGUGGAGGCAACAUUCAAACAGAAGGGGUGAGAUAUCAUAAUUAUAUAAAGGAAAGCAUGAUAAUAAGUAAGCAUCGUAGUAUCAUAUGCACAUCGCCCAUUCCACAACACAAUUCCAUAUAAAUCCACACAACAACUAUUCACGACAUAAUAGCAACAUAAAAACUAUCAAACACCAUAACAACAUUAUCAAUCAUCCGUACAAUAUCAAAUGCAACCAAUAUACAAUGCAAUGAGACUCAAAAACUCGACUCAAUGCAUGUGGUACCAAUACGUGAACACUCAGGUUCACCACUUAGAUCCUCACCUCCUAGGAUCAAAGUCAUCAAUUCGUUACCAUCACCUCUGAUAACGUCUCACUAUUUUCAUCACCUUCGAAAUCAGCUACCGGCCCAAUCCACACAAUAGGAUUUGAGGCUCACCAGCAACUGCCCAUUUAUCCAACAACAUGAAUGCAUGCAACAUACAAUACAUGCAACAACAACAUCAUGCAUAAUGACCCACCUCUAUAGUCAACAUACACCACCAAUACUAGCCAUCAUGCAUCAAACAUAUGUUAUACAACUCAACAACAUCAACAUACAACAUAAUAAGCAAUAACAAUGCAUUUAAGGUUAUGUCACACCACCACAUAAAUAAUACACUGCAUAUCAACACCCUCAAUAGAAAAAUAUUCAUUUUCAGGUACUGAAACCAAUUUUAAAUGAAAGUACACGCUUUCAGCUUUACGAAGCUUCAAACGACACUCGAAUCGGACACUAAGAGCAAAAGCUAUAAUUUUUUUAAAGUUUUCAAGAAAUUGCUUCCAGUAUAACUGGUUGCCCCAAAACCAGUAACCGGUUACACUAUAUCCAAUAGCGAAACCCAUUGUCUACACACACACAUAGUAACCGAUUAUCCAAAAACUGGUAACCGAUUACACCCCCUGAUUCCAGCCCCUAUGUGGCCUUUAUUACACAGGGUAACUAGUUACUCGAUAACAAUAAACGGUUACACCCUUCAAGUUUUUCCCAGAAACAUUGUUUUUAAGUAGUGCAAUCGGUUACUCCAGUUCUGGUAACCGAUUACACUGUUGCAGAAUUACUUUUCUGCAACUCUUUCAAAACAAAAAUAUAAUUCAUCCCAAAACCCCAUUUUCUCCCAAACAGUUUAUACCACAUUUUAACCCGAAAAUAACUUUUCCAAAGUUUAAAAUCCUAACUUAUUUACCCCAAAAACAUCCAUAACCCCGUUCCGACUCUGACCUGAAACCACAUCAAUUCACACAAAAUUUAUAUCACUCAAUCCAAUCAAAUUUCAUGACUCUAGCAUCAAUAAUUAAUCAUUUCACAUCAUUCCCAACAUCAUCAUACACGCAAUUCAACAAUUUGACAAAUAUCACAUUGAUCAUGAGCAUAGAGAAGAAAAACACAAAACCUACAUGGCAUAAUCUACCCACCAUCAUAAUGUUAACCUUUAGAUAAUCAGAAAUUCACCCUUAUAUUAAAGUUCCUAUCAAUAGAUUCUUUAACCUUCAACAAUGGUGAAUCUCCCCUUGAGCCCUAGCCUCUUCUUCUCUCUUUCUCUACUUCUCCUCUUUUCUUCCAAAAGUUACGUUACUGAGUUUCUAUCCCAAAUCCCCUUUUCUAUUCUUUUUAUUCUAAUUCCUAUUAUUUUAUUGACUUAUUCUAUUAUCAUGAUUUUCUUAAUAAUAAUAAUAAUAAUAAUAAUAAUAAUAAUAACUCAAAUUAAAUAAUUAAUAUUGAUAUUGAUAUAAUAUUAAUUAAGUAAAUAACUAAUAACAAAUAUGAUUAAUUAGUUUUACUCACCACAUCACAUUUUCUACACUUUUGCUCACACACUCCCCAACAUCUUAAUUUCUAAGGCAAAUAUCCCACACCAAGGGUACACAAAUCAUCAAAACACAAAUCAACAUAACACAACCACAUCUAUCACAUAAUAAAUUACGAAAAAUAAUUAAAAAAAAUCGGGGUGUUAUAAUUCUCCCCCACUUGGGACAUUUUCGCCCUCAAAAAUUACCUAUUGCGAACAACAUUACCUUCACGAGAGCAACCUUUUUGCCUCUCAACUGUUUCAGUUCUCGAUCAUCAAUCCUUAUAGGCAAAGCCUCAACUGUAAAGUUAUCCCUCACCUGAACAUCAUCCAUCGUAAUCACAUGCGACGAAUCUAGAACAUACUUCAGAAGAUGUGAAACAGGGAAAACAUAAUGUAGAUUUGACAAAUUUGAUGGCAACACCACUCUAUAAGCAAAAUGUCCAACUCGUCCGGAUAUCUUAUACGAAUCAAUAAACUAAGGAGUAUGCUUCCUCGAAUUAAAAGCACGUCCUACACCGGUCACCAGAGUGACUCUCAAGAAUGCAUGGCCUUCCUCUUGAAACUCAAGAUCCUUUCUCCUCUUAUCAUGGUAGCUUUUCUGUCUACUCUAUGAAGCUUUCAUCUUCUCCCGAAUCAACUUCACUUUCUCAGUAGUCUAUUGGACAAUCUCAGGUCCAAGCACUACACUCUUGCCAGAUUCAUUCCAACACAAAGGUGUCCUGCACCUUCGACCAUACAAGGCUUCAAAAGGUGUCAUUCUAAUACUAGAAUGGAAACUGUUAUUAUACGUGAAAUCAAUCAACGAUAAAUGACCAUCCCAAACACCUCAUUUCUCGAGAACACAAGCUCUCAACAAGUCCUCUAAUGACUGAAUGAUCCUCUCUGUCUAACCAUCAGUCUGCAGAUGAUAACCUGAACUCAACUUCAGCUUCGAACCCAAAGCUUCUUGUAAACUCUCCCAAAAUAUGGAAGUGAACCUCAUAUCUCUAUCCGACACAAUACUCACGGAACUCUAUGCAACUUCACAAUCACACAGAUAUAUAUAUCUCUGCCAACUUCUGCAUAGAAAAAUUGAUGUUAAUUGGAAUAAAAUGAGCUGACUUCGUCUGUCUAUCAACAAUUACCCAAAUGACAUCAUGCCUUCUCGGAGUAUUCGACAACCCCGUCAUGAAAUCCAUAUAAACUCUAUCCCAUUUCCAUUCUGGAAUAUCCAACGGUUGCAUCAAUCCUGCAGGUUUUUGAUGUUCAACCUUUGACUUCUGACAAGUCAAACAAGCAUACACAAAUUGAGCCACAUCUUGCUUCAUUCCAUAACACCAAAAGAUCUUCUUCAGAUCCUGAUACAUCUUAGUAGCUCCUGGAUGAAUACUCAAGCUACUUUAAUGACUUUCUUCCAAAAUCAUCUUCUUCAACUCAACUUUGUCAAGAAUAUAAAUUAUGUCUCUAAACCUCAACACACCUUGUUUAUCCACUUUGAAAUCAUUACUUUCAGUCUGAUUACUUCCAACCAUCAAGUCCACCAUCUUCGCAUCCAAAUUCUGACUCUCUUUAAUAUUAUUAAGAAAAUCAUUAUUCAUCUUCAGCAUUCCCAACAUCACACUCAACGGUGUCAACUCACAGACUAAACUCAUGUCUCUGAACUGUUCAAUCAUUUCCAACUCUCUAACUGUCAUACCCUAAUUUUUAACCCUAAGAUCCCACAUAUCAUUUACAUCUUUUUCACAAAAAGAAGUUCACAUAUUGGUUCUUACCCCCCACCAUCCAUCUUUGGGUUUGCUUCUUGCAGGCAUCACCAAGCAUCUCUUUGUUGGUUUGUUUUACCUUUGUGUUUACAUAGUUAAUUGCUUAUCUAAACACUAAUAAAAAUAUCAAAAAUAUGUUUUGUUUUCCUUAAGUUUAUAUUGCAAGAUAGGGCUUUUCAAUUAAGAGCAUCUCAAAGUUUUGUGAUUUACUUCUCAAAGAAAGACAAAGGUUCGUGUGUUUAUUUCCAUGCCUUCUUCAAUAACCAAAUUCAAGAUUUGAGAAAUUUAACCAAUAGGUAAUCAAGGAAACCUAAUUUUGAGUUCAUAUGAUCACCCAUGUGCUUUGAAAUGCAAGUAAAGUCCAAGUACACAAGCUUGUUCCAAGAGGUUUAACAAAAAAAGUCAACCAUUUGAAGUCAAAGUUCAAAGGAUCACAACUCCUCCAAUUCUCAACAUUUUUUAAUGCUUAUUUUUGCAUAUGACUAUUCUCAACAUCCUCUACAACUUCUAUUUACAUGACAAGAUCCAAUUAUGCUUGGAGGAUCAUCAAAAGUUUGAACACAUUAUAGGUCAUUUGUGGAUUUAGUGAAAUUUGACCUAUUUUCCAGUGACUUUUUCCAAACUUUCAAAGAUCAUAAAUUCUUCAAUUUCCAACAUAUGAGGCUGAUUCUUUUUGCACAAUGUCAUUUGCGAUGCCCUCUACAAAUUUGCUCCAAGGAUUAAGGUCAGAUUAUGCUUGGAAGACCAUGGAAUUCAUUGAAACAUUAUAGGUCAUGUUCAAACAUAAAGCACUCAAAUUUUUCUAAGUUGUAUGAUCAGUUUUUCAUGCCAACUUAAACAUGACAUAACUUUGUGCUCAACCAUCCAAAUUAAACCUUUCUCGGCACAUUUUAAUCUUUUCAAUGAUGUUAACACAUUGAAAAAAGAAUGGGAUCAAAAAGCCUCCUGAGUAGAGUGCCCCAUUGGGUUGAACCCUGGCUCCAGUGAUGAGUUGUUUUGCAUCUCACCCAUAGGAUCCACCGGAGAAGAAGACUGGAGCCCUGGCUCCGGUGAUGAGUUGUCUUGCAUCUCAACCAUAUGAUCCUUUUAAAAUGUUUUAAUCUCAGGUGUUGCUUUUGAAUACCAAGCCUAUGUCGUGUUGACUGCAGUGCACCAUGGAACGCGCACUUUCAUCCAUCUGAUCUGCCACCUCAAUUAAUGAGGGAGAUCAGAUGACUCUCCUUUUUUUAAAUUUCUGAAUAUUUCUUUUAAUUGCUUAUUUUUAUUUAAUUCAUAUUAAUUUCAUUAUUGAUCCAAAAAAUAUGGGACUUUCACCAAAAAGUUUCAAAUAUUUUCCUCUUUCAUUUUCUGAGUUAAAAUUAUUUUUUGGAUUAAUAUUGAUAUUUUUCAUGAUUUAAUUGUUUUUAUGCAUAUUUUUAAUUGUUUAAAAAUACUUCUGACUUUUCAAAAAUAAUGAAUUUUUUUCUCCAAGGUCCUUUGACCUUGUUUGACCAAUGAUAAAUCUGUUGGCCAUUUAUUUGGUGUUUUGAAGAGGUUUUAGGUUUUUGAUCAAACAUAAUUUAAUUUAAUGCAUUUUAAUUUGAUUUUUAAUUGUUUAAUUGUGUGAAAAUCAUGUUGAGCCAUUUUUUAUUGACUUAUGAAGUUUGACUAUGUGUUGGUUCAAGGAUCCAGGCUUGUGAAUAGAGGGUUGAAUGUUCUCCAAAGAAUGACUUAAACAAUUGAAAAGCAAAACUCCACUAACAUCUAGUCAACUAACAUUUGACUAACCUUUUAAUUACAAGUCAUUUACUUUAUGCAAUUUAAAUUUAAGUCAGUUACCAUUUCAUUUGCCAUUUUACAUACCAUUUAACUUGCUUAUGUUUAUGUCAUUUUCACUUUGCUCACUUGAGUCAUUUAUUGUGACUGUAUAUAUUUGUUUGUAUAUCUUGUUUGUGUUUGUGGUCUUAGGACCUUAAAAUACUUAAUAAACAACAAAAAACCCUAAAAAAAUGUUUGUGUGGACUGUUGAAUUUGAUCUGAGCUUUGGACUUAGAAUUAGGAAACAUUCCCUAUGCAAAAGGACUUGGCCAAUGCCAACAUUUUUGAAACCAAGUUCUUGUGAGUUGAACUUUUAUCUGAUGCAAGUAUUGGGAUCCACUUGAGUUCAUAUGCUACAUGGUCUUGAUGCAAAUGUUACUUUGAACCUGUGUCUAAUGCAUUAUUCUGAGCCAUUCAAGGAGUAUGUCAUCUGAUACAUUGGAAGAUUAUGAAGAAGUCUGUGAAGUUGCUAGCUUGGACGUGACUAUCUUUAUUUGAUGCCUUACUCUUUAUUUUGCUAUUUGCUUAUUGAUAUUGCUUGACUCUAAAGUCCAAAGGAAAAAUGGGUUUCUAUAUGACAUUCUUAUCUAUUGGAUUGCAUCCCAUUGGUCAGAUCUUUUCAACUCUUAACUUUUAAAUUUUUGCUUAGGAUUAGUCUCUUCAUCUCCUCCCACUUCUUAAAUUUCAAAUCUCUCUCUCCUUUCAAAAAUUUCUUUUCCCGUGAUUUCAAAUUUAGACUUUAUUGCAAAUUAGAAACCUUGACCUUAUGCCAUUGCAUUUUUACACUCUUUUCUUAAUCAAACUUGUAAAUGAACUUAACCAUAUUGACUUAAAAUUUCAAAAGACCAAAAGAAAUAACACUCAUUCAAAACUAUUUUAGGCCUUUUGUGCCUCUUUUAAAUUUAAAUUUUUGUUAAAAGCAAUUCACUCACUUUGAAAUUGAUACCACGAACUACGAGGCUUUGAUCCCUUAUUUUUAUGUUGAUACAUAGGCACAAGUCCGAAGGUCUUGUCAAACACAAAAAUAUAAUCAAUGAAUUAUUUUCUCAUCCCAACACUCUAUUUAUUACAAAUAUCUUUUAUACCAAAACACAUACACACAUAAAAAAGGGCUCCAUAGGAGUACCUAGGAUACUUUGGGUACUAACACCUUCCCUCUGUGUAACCAACCCCCUUACUUGUAAUCUAUGGCAUUUUAUUAGUGUUGAUUUGAAAACUUCUUAUCUUUGGAUUUUGUUCGUACUUUUCCCUUUUCCUUUGAAAAUAAUAAAAGCGCGGUAACGACUCUGGUUUUAUUAACGUUAAGUUUAUCCAUAGCUUAAUGGUCAUGAAUUUAUCGCUACACAAACCACACAAUUCACCUCCCUCUUGUGUGAAGUCUCAAGUCCAACAAUGACCACCUCUGCUAACCUAUUUUCGGUUAACUUAAUUUGUUAUCUUUCAUGGCCUUUUGAAUAUACCUAUGAAAAACAACUUACUUAUUUGUUGUGUGCUUUUAAGAAUUAUGACAUUAAUAACUUUUAUCUUCGAUUUCCUCAGAUAAAGGGAUAUUAUGAUCAAUCUAGUAGUUGAAUAUUCUAAUCAUUAAGUAGAUGACUAAAUAUAUAGUCCUUUAUCAUGUCUUAUGAAAAAUCACUACUCUUCCCCUUAGAAUGAUUUAGGACUUGACAUGAAUAAGUUUCCUCUUUUAGGAUCUCAACUAUUAGUAUGUAUGUCAUAACAUUGACUGAUAUAUAUGAUAUUAUAUAUAUAUAUAAUAUAAUAUAAUAAUAAUAUAUAUAUAUAUAUAUAUUAUAUAUAAUAUUAUAUAUAUAUAUAUAUAUAUAUAUAUAUAUAUAUAUAUAUAUAUAUAUAUAUAUAUAUAUAUAUAAUAUAUAUAUAUAUAUAUAUAUAGAUGACGUAUAUAUAUAUAUGAUGAAGACUAGGUGAGUGCCUUUCCAUUAGUUAUUAUGUUUUUUAUGUCUUUCUUGAAUGAAUUUCUUAAUGUAUGUUGCUCUCGAUGCCAGGUCGUUCAGAUCAUGAUAAGUUUGUCCAACUAUUUUCUAUUUAAUUGUGGGUUCAUUCCAUUGAUAGUCAUGGACCUAUAUUCAUCAUAAGGAAACAUCACUUGACACAUGUCAGCCUUCUUUAUGAACUUCUCAAUGAAGCCGAUUUUUGGUUUGUCUACCUAUUAUUUAUGGUUCAACAAAUCACUUGUCGUUCCUCAAUCUGGGGCUAGUAAAACAUAUCAUGGAAACACCUUUCCAUGUAUUAUCAUGUCUAUCAUGUUUAAUGAGUGAAAUAGAAGAGAUAUUUUUCCAUUGACUAGUCGAGGUGCUAUCAAACCCACUGAGUGUGUGUCAGGUGCCAUCAAACCCAUGGAUGAUUAAUUAGAUAUACUCCAAUCAAUUUUUUAUGUCUUGCUUCUAAGCUAAAGGCAUAUCCUUCAUGGAACAUCCAAUAUGUCAUACUACUUCUGAUGGCCUCUUUUCCAUAUGUUGAUCGAACUAUAAACGUUAGUCAAGAAUCAACUGAUAGUUCUAUAUUGUAAUCCCCCUUUCUUUAAAUGAUGAUGUUUAUGGAGAUUUUCGUCUCUUAGUAGCGAGUUCCUUAAAUACUACAAAAGUGUUAAAUACGGACAUGAGAGGUUUAUCAACUAGACUAAGAAAUGCAUAAAUAUAAUAGUGAUAAAAUGGAAAAAUGACUUGAAUGGAUGUUUGUUGAAAUUUACACAAUAUGGUAUUUUUAGAGGAAACUAUCAUAAUGGCCAUCACAUUGUGUCAAAUAGAAAAUUAUACCAUUUUUGCCAAUUUACGCGGGUAAUGUGAUUCUUCCCUCCAUGUGUGGGAUAAAUAGUGCUCCAUAUUUAACCAAUACUUCACAUUCCUUGGCAUGUUCUAUUGAUCAUCUCCACAAGUGAGCAGCCCAGGCAACUCGUGGCACCAUCAUUCUCACUUUCUUUUAUUAAAGGAUGAACAAAAUAAAGAAUGUAUCCAUAAACCCAAUUAUCUUCUCCUAUUACACAUUUCGACUAAGUCCAAAAUCUUAAUGACCAUACUUGAAAAAUAUUAGGUGACUCUCACUCAUAUGUGUUUGUGUUUUUCUAACUCUAAUUUGGCAAGGAGACCAUCGUUUAUCCCUAAUUUUACAUGUCUUCCAAUCUCAACUCUCAACUGACCUUUUAUUCAUAUUUAGAUGUAAGCAACAUUAUAGACUAAAUAAAAAUUUAAAUAAAUAUAUGAUUAAUUAAUUAAUUAACUAGAUAAAAAAUCAAAUUACUUAUUUUUUGGAUCAUACACUCACGACAAGGUAUUGCUUGUAACACAUAAGUACAAACAACUUAUACAGUCCUCUAAAAUAUAAGGAUUGCCCUCCUAGUACGGCUCCAUAUUAUCCUUCAACGCCUCAUUUGCAUUCCAGUCAUCAUGUGCCUUAUACACAAGUUCAUCAAGUGGUUGAUAGUCAUUCUUCAUUUGUGCACCUCAUCAACCUGAUGAAUCUACAUAGAUUAUCGCAUUUAUACUAGAGCUGUCAAAAUGGGUUAGCCCAUAUGGACCGGCCCGUCAGGCCCGAAAAACCAUAGAGCAUGAGCCUUAAAAUUAGAGCUCAUGUUUUUCAGGUAUUUUUUAGCCCGACCCUAAAAAGCCCGCUACCCAUUAGGGCUAGCUUGUAUUGCCCUAGGUAGCUGGUUAGACCCGCAUAACUAUAAUUUUUUUUUUAAAAUUAUAUUAGUACUUAUAUUGCCUUACUCCAAAAUAACACAUUGUUUUUUUUUUCACCACACUAAAUAUUAUCUCUAUUCUAUUCAAUCUUUUUCUUUUAAAUCUUAUACAUUAAUAUAAUCAACACUUUUUCCUUGUAUUCUAUUAGUUUCUCUUAUGUUAAAUAUUUGAGUGUUAUUUUAUACAAUUUAGACAUGUGUUGUAUUUAAAAAUACAUUAUAGUAUUUAUAAAAUAUAAUAUAGUAUUUAAAAUUGUAUUAUGUUUAAAAUAAUAUAACUAUUAAUUUCAUUUAUAAUAAAUAUUAUAGAGUUUUGAUUUUAAUUUUUUAUUUAAAAAAAACUCGUUUAGGGUUGGAUAAUCCGAAGUCCAUCUAGGGCCGAUCUCGGGUAGUAAUUAUCGAACUCAUAUUAUAACAGGAUUUUUUGGGUCCAACCCUAAGAAGCCCGAGGCUCGCUAGGACCGAUCUGUUUAGAAUUGGGUAGUCCAUUUUGACGACUCUAAUAAUCUACACAACUCAAAGCACUUGCUUCAUAAAUAUUGUAUCUUUAACUUAGGGGUGAGAAUAAGCUAGAUCACGAUUUAAAAGACAUGAUCUAAUCUUUUGUACAUUUGUCUGACCUCUUAUGGUCGCUAUAGACGGUUUUUGAUUGGAAUUAUCCUUUUUAAAAACUUGGCUCGACCUUAUAGCCUAUUUAAAAGGAUAUUUUCAAAAAUUAUUAAAAUUUGAUUUUUUAAACUGCUAAACAAGUUUAUUGAAUAAUUUAAUAUUAAUUAAUUAAUUAUUAAAAUUUAAUGAUUAUCAUUACGUGUUAUAUUAUUAUAAUUAUAAUUGCUCUACAAAAAAGUGUUAAGUGAACAUAUAUGAAUAAAGUCAUGUUCUUAUAUAUACACCAUUGUUAGUCAUGUUUGUCAAAAACUUUCGAUGAAAUAACUUACGAAUUUGUAAAUACAAGUUUCACCUCCAUUUUAUACCCACAUAUAUAUUCAUAAGUCGCACAUCAAAAAAAUUCUAAAGCAUAAAGAUUUGUAUAUAACAACAAUAUAACUUUAUUCCUAAAUUUACGUUUUACAGUGCUUUAUGAUUUAGAUAAAAGAUCUUGAUGUCAAACGAUGUCAAAUAUUUCGGAGAAGACAUUUCAUAUAAAAUAUUAUUACCUCCAUUUUUUAUUAUAAAUUAUUUUACAAAAAUAUUUUAUACCACAAUAUAAGUGGUUAUAAUAACAAUAAAUCAUUAAUAUUUUUUUUUAUUAAAUCCUUAAAUAUUUAUUAUUCUCUCUUAUUUCAAUUAUAUUAAUUUGUCUUUUCAAUAUCAUUAAUGAAGGAUAAUUUUGUAAAAAUUUUCAUAAUUUAUCUUUUUCAUACAAUAAUAAUUACAUUUCUUAAUAAAUGUGAAAAGUCAAAAACGACUUAUAAUAAAAAAUGGAGGGAGUAUGUUUUAAUUCAAAAAAACAUGAUAGACUUUGUUGACUUUUAUAAUAGUUUAAGUUUAACCUAUGUAAUCAAAUAAUUUAAAAAAAUAAUCUAAAUAGCUUUUUAAUAAAUAGAUUCGGUCAAACUUAAAUAAGCAAGAUAACAGACCCCUUAUAAUAGAGCUUACUUAUUUUCGUUUUUACUCGAUCUUCUACGUAUAUGACAUGUGAAAUCUAACUCUAAUAAAAAUCUGAGCAAGAGCUAGAAUAUGAUCACUAUAUCCUCUCCUUUCAAUCAUUAUUAAAAGAUGAGAAAAAACAAAUUUUAAAUAAUUAAAAAUUGCAACAACAAAAAUAUGAGACAAAAAUUAUUAUAUAUAAACACUUUUAAUUUGAAUAUUCAAAAUAGAAAUAAUGAAAAGAGAAACUUCCAGCUCGAAUAUUAAAACUGAAAAUUUUGUGACUCAAAACUUUCAAAAUCCUAGAGAAAGUUGAUUUUGUAAGAAAAGUAAAAUUUGAAAUUUUCAAGAAAUUCUAAAAUGAUCGUAUGUCGAGUGUAUAGAGCCAACCUUGAAAUUAAUCCAUGAUACACUCUUAGCAUAAAAACAACUGUCCCCUCUGAAUAAAAGGACCAGCAUUUGUUUGUGUAAUUCCAGUAUCUCUUUAAUAACUUACCUAUUUGGUUAACUAAAAUCACAAUCAUAAAAGAGAGAAAAAUAAUCAUAUUCAUAAAUACUUUCCAAAUUAUUUAAUGUCUUUUUGGAGAGGGUCAUCGUUAUGACUUUAUCUAUAAUUGUGUCUGCUUUCUAUUUUCAACAGUAACUUCUAAGAUAAAAGUCAUUGACCCUAAAAGCAUGAAUCUAAUGACUUUUUUUUUUACCAUGGCCCAUGAUAUGAUGAAAAAUAAAAGGUGACAAUGAACUUUGGAAAUUGCACGUUCGAUGUUGUAUAUCCAUUCAAUUCAACACCAUAGCCUUUUCUUCCUAUAAUUUAAAACACAGUUUUAUUAGAAUGACAUAAUUUAAAAUUGAAAUGUGUUAUGCGGGGGUAAACUUGUCAUCUACUUAAAUAAUGUUUUUUAUUAGAAUGAUAUAAUGUGUUUUUCCCUCGUUUUCAGAUCAGUCACUUAGAAUAUGAGGGGCACCCCGAGCAAGUUGGGGAACUUCCUUCAAGAUUUCGGUAUCCUUUUGCAUGAAAGCUUUGAUAGUGGGGUCAAACAACAAUCCUAAAAUGGUUAGGUAGGUAGUUGAUUUUUUAUUUUUUUAAUAAGUGUUUGUUGGUGAGUUGAUUUUUUAAGAUUUUGAAAGAGAAUGUUUGGAAGGAACGCAUUUAUAUUUUGAUAUGUGCUUUAUAUUUUUAAAAAGAAAUUAAAAAAUAAUAUGAUUUUUAUAGUAAUGUAUUAUAUUAUAUUUUAAAAAAAUUAAAAAUAUCAAAUAAAUUUAAAAAUAUAGAUAAUCAUCCUUCAAAAUCAUCCUCUUCAAAACCCUCUAAAAAGUGACUUAUAAAAUGGACCUUAAAUAUAGGUUAGACAACUUGCACAUUUCUUCUACAAGGAAACAAUACACAUUAGAAUAUAAUUUUUUUUAUAAAGCUUAAUAGUAAAAUGGAAAAAGGAAAAUAGUGGGAGCACUCCUCACAAAAACAUAUAUUUUCUAUUUUCUUUACUACAUGCCUCAAAAAAUAAAUAAGUUUUGAUAUAUCAAAGUUUCUUCUUGUGUUGAGUAUCAUUGUGUAUUUAAAAAAAAUUGACUAUUUUUUGAGUGCUAUGAAAUUUGAAGAUAAAAUGACAUCUAAGGAUAUUAAAGGGGCAAAUUUGGAGCAUCUUAGAGUCAUUAGCGAUAAAUUAUUCCAUAGAUUUUGAUGAUGAAUACUUAUCAACUUAGGAUAUUUAUUAAUUUAUCAAUAUGUAGCUAAGUUUCUCUAGAUUAUGUCUUUUCAAGACGAAAUUUAUUUUUACUCUAUCGAAACAUAUGUCUGUUUGAGUUUUAUUGAGACUUUUAUUGUUAUUAUUAUUAUUUAAAAUGUUCUUGAGUUUAAUAUUUUUUGUCUCUUACCGGCGUACAAAUUGAUUUAGAUAUGUAGGGAUUCUUGAUCGUUAGUCUACUAAUCUGAUCUAGGAAAUUUAUUUUGAUUUGUAAUUAACUAUGGAUAGGUAAUUAGAAGUCGUUGUUUAUGAAUUAACGCACUUAGAACACCUAAUUUGAUUUUGAAUUGGCCUACGAAAUUAGGGAAUUAUCGUAUAAGUUAGUGAGUUGCACACCAAGAUAUUAAGUGCAGUGGUUUGGUUAAUUCGCUGUGAGAUAAUAACUUAAUUGAAACUCGAUAAAUACACAGUUGAUCAAUAGGUAAAAUAAGGGGGGUUCGAUAUAAAAGACCUAAUCACCUUUCUCUUCUUAAAUUUCAUCAUUUUAAUUUCUCAUUUAGAACCGAUUUUCUAACGAAAACCGGCCAUUUAAUUACUUAAAUUAGAAAAUAAUUCUCUUGUUAAAUUAUAAUCCUCGUGGAGAUAGUCUUUUAUUAUUACUUUGACAUUAUAGGUACACCUGCCGAGAAGCCAUCAAGAUUUUGGCGUCCAUGUUGGGGAUUAUUGAUUUCAACCAGGAAACUUAGUGUGAUGCUUUAGUUUUUAAUUUUUGAAUAUUAUGUUUGCAUUUUAAUUUUUGUUUAGUUCUUGAUUGCAACUUUGGUCCUUCUAUUUUUCUUUUUUUGGCUUUAAUCCCCCCAUUUUAAAAUCUAGAUUUUUAGUCCCUUUUAAAUUUUUCUUAGGAUUUUAGUCCCCUUACUAAUUUGAGAUCAAUUUUCGAUGAUAUGGCAUUGGACAUGAUGAUAUGUCAUUGCCACAUUUAUCAUUUUUAAAUCCAUAAUUUAAAAUUAAUAUUUAUUUUAUAAAUAAUAUAAAUUAUUUUAUUUAAAUAAAAACAAAAUUAAAAUAAAUAAAAACAAAUUCAUUAUCCUCAAUUACAUUCAUCAUAUUCACCUAGAUCUUUUCCCAAAAAGAAUCAGGAAAUUUUGAAACUCAAAUUGAAUUUUUCAUCUCUUCAACAAACUCAAAAUUGAAAUUUGCUACUAGAUUUUUAGAUAUUGAAAUAUUCCACGUGUUAUAGAGAGAAGGCUGACUCUCUCUCUAAAAACUUAACGUGUUCUGUUUCCCCCAUUUUCCCCUUAGUGUUUUAUGGCAGCGCUUUCUCUCCAGUUUCUUCUGGGUGUUCCCCAAUUUAUAUGGGUUAUAUUUUGAUUUUUUGUUUAGAUAUGGAGCUGGAAGAUAGGGAGGUGUAUGGAAACCAUGGACCAAUGGAAGAACAUACAAUUUUCAAAGAAGGAAGAGGAAUGUGAGAUAACGGCAACAAAGGAAGUUUGCUUAUAGGAAUCAUUCCAAAGAACUUUAGCAGGAAAGCUUUGGACGGAAAACAGCUUCAACGCAAGAGCUUUUAAAAGUACGAUGAUUAGUGAUUGGGAGAUGAAAAACUCAGUGGAAAUAUAAGAUCUAAGCAAAAAGCUUUUCCUUUUCAAGUUAUCGACAAGAAUGGAUUUGGAAUUUGUUCUUAGAAGUGGACCUUGGAGCUUUAAUUGAUCACUAUUGAUUAUUGAGAGUGUCUCUAGGGAGGAACAACCCUCAGAUCUUAACAUGCACUUUAGAACCUUUUGGGUGAAGAUAUAUGACGAGCGACGGGCAUGCCUGUCGGAUUAUGACUGCAAGCGCACAACCUAUCGUAAUGGUCAAACUAAUGUUAUCUAUUGUUGCAGUGCAAAGCUUAGGCUAAAGAUUAUAAGGGUAGGAACGGAAACGAAUAUACUAAUUUCUAACGGUUUAAAAGUUAUGAUAACAAACGAGUCGGGAAUAUGGAUUUCGCGUACCUAAGGGAUUAGGUAGAAUUUGGCACUAAAUAAGAUUCUAUUGUGUUAUGUAGAAAAUACCGACUUAAAGAUCCCAUCUCACACUCUCGCGCUAUUGACAAAGAUCACACCUCCUAACCACAUGAUUUUGCUCUCGCUCGCCCGUUCUAAUUAGAAAGUGCAUUUUGAAAGUAAAUGAGAUCCUAAAUGAUGCCUAAAGCGCUCUUGUUGUUUUUAGGAUCGAUGCCUAGUUUCCACUAUGUGGUUCCUUCCUCACACUCUCGCACUAUCGGAUUGAACCUUAACUUGUUUCACACUCUCGCGCCAAAACAGUAAAUCAUACAAUUGGAAACUAAAGCCAUAACAUAGUUAAAUCAUAAAUUCGCCCUAUUAUUUCUAUCGAGUCCUGUCGGUAACGACGGUCCUUAUAAGCCAGACUCAGAAUAAAUUAGCAAGACAUGUUAUUAUUUAGGAACAACAUAAUUAAAACAUUCAAAAUUAAGAGCAACAUGGCAUACAAGUAAUUGAAACAGUAAAACAUGCAAAUAUCAAAAGCAAUAAAAAGAACCUGAAAUUGCUUAAAAUAAAACUGGAAUUAACUUGAACUUGAACUUGAAUUAACUUGAAAACAAAAUAACGACAUGCUUGUUCUUCGAUCCAAGAGUACAGCGAAGAUGAAAACAAAAUAAAACUAGAAAAGGUGUGACAAUCCCUCGAUGUGAGUUAUUGUCACCUUUACAGGUAAUUUAUGCUUAAAUCUAAAAACUCGAUUCGGCAGAGCUUCCGCACAACUUGGAUACCUUCCAAAGUCUCCCACAAUCUUAUUUAUAAAGGUUUUGAGACCUGGUAACUCCCUUGGAUCGUACAUAGAGAGUGGAGGGAAAAUAAUGGAUAAAAAACGGUCCAGAACUGCCCACUAGCGCAGUUCUGUUACUGCGUGAUAAUGGUGAACGCCAUUAGGGGAAUGACGAACGCCAUUCCUCCCACAUUUUAAAUGAUGUGGCAGCAAAGUAAAUGGCGAACUCCUUAUGAACAUAAUGCAUAAAACUUGCUCUUUUACUCCUUUUUAGCUCCUAUUUCGCUCCUUUUUCGCGAGGCUUCCAAAACUUCAAUGAUACCAAAUAAUAACUGCAAAAUAGAUAAAAUGGAAGUAAAAGACGAUAAAAUGCAUAAAAACAUAAAUGAAUAUCAUGUGAACUGAGUCUAAAAACAAGAUACGAUUUCUCGUUAUCAAAUUUCCUCACACUUAGAUUGUUGCUUGUCCUCAAGCAAUCACCCAAUGCAAAUGAGAAACAAUUAAACACAAUGUCUAAAAUAUAGGCCCGAUGACACUCUAAGUAGUACGAGACUGCUAGGCUAAUGUUAGAUAAAUAGGUACUAGAUACCAAAAAUAAGGAUAUCGUAGUGACACACAUACUCAUUUCACAAACAAAAACUCCCCAUAUACAAAACCAAUUUGAACCAUGCCAUUAUAACUCGACCUAUAUUCUUUGUUCUUUUUCAACCUCUUUUUCAUUCUAGCACAAUCACAUUAAGCAUGUUAUCCGUACACAUUCAAGGUAGAUGAACUUGUUAGUGACUAUGAUCUCGAUUUCAAUUUUAUCGCACUUACUUAGCAAAAUUUUGCUUAAGUAUCAACUGGAUUUUUAAGAGUUCGUACCGUUGGGCUAAAUGAUCGGGUGAGGAUCACCUAACUUAGAAGGUCCAAAUCUUAUCACAGAUUUUAUUCAUUAUAUUUUUCAUUUUUGUGUUUUUUCUUGAGAUCAUACACUUAUUUGCAUCGGCUUCCUUGCUCAUGUGUGUUUUAGGAUGGUGCUGAUUGCUAGUAUAAACUACUCAAGGGGUUACUUAAAGAAACUUAGAAUUAAGGUCUUGACAUAAUGGUUAUUCAAAUCAAUGUCACAUACUUAGGGAGUUUAGGGUGUUAGGACGGUACCGAUAUUAUCGACACUUUCCCAAGUCUAUCUAACAAAGCCUAAAAAGUAGGAACAAACGAUACUAAAGGUAUGUCUUGCCAUUGAAUCAGAACACAAAUUUUCAUCAUUGGGGGUCAAAUCUAAGGGAAUUUCAAACAAAAGAAAAAAAUUUAUCACGCAAUAGGACUCGACAACACAUGUAUCACUCGACCAAAAGCUAAAAAUACAUAAGAAUGAAAAUAAACUAAGAAUGGAAAUAGAAUAGUAAAUAAUAGAAAAUCGGUAAAGCUCCUCCCGCACACUUGAACCAAACAUUGCCCUCAAGGUUUCAGUGUAAGGCUAAGAAAGGAGUAGUGAAACUUGGUAGGGUGGCUCAAUGAUGUCGGUCGCGACCUCUAUGUCACACAAAACCUCCUCUAUCGAAAGAAGAGUUAGGCACAUGCUGCAUGUACUCCCUCAUACCUGCCACCUCCAGAUGCACUUUGUUCAUAUUCUUAAUAAGGUCAGCUAUGUGGUGUUUCAUCCGCUCGACAAAGUCAAGUGGAGACUCUCUGAUCUGAUCAAUGGAGACUCUCAUCUCUACCUGCUACAUCUGAAUAUUCCUAAGUAGGACAUCACGGUCCGCCUCGGCAUCAUUCUGUUGUUUAAGCUCACUUAGGACGUCAUCAAGAGUUGUCAUCAUGGCGGUAUAGUCAUACUCCUCAUGAGGCUGAUGUCCGGAUGAGGUACCUGCAAAAGAGUCAGGAAAAGCAGGUUCGAUGUGUGCUUGGGUGCCGGUGCGGGGAGCAUCUUGCUCCAUGUGAUCAGGCUCGGGGGCGUUAAGAUCAAAAUUCCAGUUAGCGCUUAUUCGCACGUUGAUACGUGCGACGCAAGGUAAAGUAAAGCCUUUAACCUCUCAGUUACUAAUCAUUAAGAAAUACUUGCCGUCAGGUUUAUUUUUAAUGAGGUGCAUGCUACAGCAGUAAUCAAAGUCGGCAAACGGAGUCUCUAACGGCUCAAGUGUAGCCAACUCUGUGCCUAGGUUUAAAGCAAGGGAUAUGGAUGUGAUUAGCUCUCUGACACAAAUAGGACCCUCAGUCCGAACACAGGUGGACUGGAAGUGUGCGAGUAAGAAUGGUGUCGGGUUAACUUUUGUUCUAGGCAAUGCACAAUAAAUAAGAAAAAGGUCUUUAGAAUUCAUGUUGCCAGUAUUCUCUCGGCCAAAAAUAGUACUGGCUAGAAUACCAUGCAAAUACCGAAUGGCAGGGUUUUGAAUAGUCGUGGCUUUUAGGCCUUCCCAGUCAGUGGUGGUUUUGCCCGUUAGUUGCGGCCAAAAGUAGAGAGCGUUGGAUUCCCAAUCACUCUCUAAAGGGUGUUGGCAUGCAAAAUCGCCCCCAUUAGGGAACGAAAGUAAGUUGGACAGUUGGUCUUGGUUAAUAGCGUAAGUUCUGUUGAACAUUCUAAAAUGUGCAGUGUUGGUGGUUUGGGGUCCUCCGAUAGGAGUGGUGUACCAAAAAUAGCUCAAGAACUCCUAGGUAAGUCAGAUAAAUGUAGGACUAGUUAAAGUAAAAAAAUGAGACAUACCUAACUUGUUAAGCAUCCAAUGGACACUGUCGAAUAAGCCCAAAUUACGAAGAGUAGUAUUGUCGGGGUACCGUGAUGCUAAGAUUCAUGGUAGGUUUUGAUUUUGGAGGUUUUGUGAAACACCCUAAAACCCCACGCUUAAUAUCAUAAAUAAAGCAUAUAGGUAGCACAUAUUCACAUUUAUGAUGUUACUCAUCAUUAAAAAUACAUGUUAUGUAACACAUAUUAAAUAAAAUAAAAUAUUCACCUACACCACUCAAAUUAAAUUAAUUAGCACCACAUCUAAUUAAAUAAAAUACGAGUAAUUCAUAAAUAAUUCGAAUAAAUAGAAUAAUCUAAAUUGGGGUGUUACAACUCCCAUCCACUUAAAGAAUUUUUGCCCUUGAAAAUUACCUUAAGUAAAUAGAUUUGGAUACAAAUCCCUCAUUUGACUCUAAAACUCCCAAGUCACGUUUCCAUCAGUUGGCCCUCCCCUAGCUACCUUCACCAAGGUAAUCUCUUUACCAUGCAACUGCUUCACUUCCCGAUCCUUUAUCUGCAUGGGUGAUGCCUCAAUAAUCAUGUUAUCUCUCACCCGCACAUCAUCCACUUGGAUCACAUGAGACAAAUCCAAAAUGUAUCUCCUCAACUGAGACACAUGAGACACAUCAUGAAUAUUAGCAAGCAACAAUGGUAAAUCAAUCAUAUAGGCUACUUCUCCUAUCCUUUUCAAAAUCUGGUAUGUACUGAUGAAAUACAGAGCGAGCUUUAGAGAUUUCAACGCCUGAACAACACCAAUUAUCUGAGUAACUCUCAGAAACACGUGAUCCCCCUCUUGGAACUUAAGUGCUUUCCUUCACUUAUCAUGAUAGCUCUUUUAAAGACUCUAUGAAGCUCUCAUCAUCUAAUGGACCACUUUGAUCUUCUAUGUAGUAUGUUGGACGAUCUCAGGACCAAUCACAAUACCAUAUCCCGACUCAUACCAACAUAAAGGUGUCCUACACUUUCUACCAUACAACUCCUCAAACAGUUCCAUUCCAAUGCUAGAAUGGCACUAUUUGAGGCGUUGCAUGUUUGUAGGUAAACUCGAUCAUCGGUAAAAAGCCUCAUUAAUCACAACUUUACUUUCAUAUUUCAUAGAAGCUAAUAACAUAAACAAUUAGGUGUCGCCCUUCACAAACUCGUCCACUUGCUUAGCAGACACAAACAACUCAUCACUUGCAUUAAACUCUGAAAAUGACACUAACUCGUCCAACAACCUGCACUCUUGCAAUCAACGGCAUGCUGAACUGAUCCUCCACAUCCGAAAUCUCGCUCCUACUGAUAAGAGGUUAAAAAGACAAACGAAUAUCGACAACGUUUCACACACAUGUCGCGUACCAGGGAACAAACAACAUUACAAAACGUGGCCAGACGGACCGACCUUCUCUGAUAUCACUAUGUAACACCCUAAAACUCCAUGCAUAAUAUCAUAAAAUAAAGCAUAUAGGAAGCACAUAUUCACAUUUAGGAUGUUACUCAUCAUCAAAAACACAUGUUCUGUAACACAUAUUCAAAAAAAUAAAAUAUUCACCUACACCACCCCAAAUUAAAUUAAUCAACACCGCAUCUAAUUAAAUAAAAUAUGUGUAAUUCACAAAUGAUUUGAAUAAAUAGAAUAAUCUAAAUUGGGAUGUUACAUUUUGAGUCUUUAAUAUGAGUUUUAGGAUUUUCUGACUUUUUUGUGUACUUCGAUUUUAUUGAAUAGGAAAAUAAUUUGGGUGAAGAUGAUGAAUUUGGUUGAAGAUGAUGAAUUUUGUUUUUUUAUUUAAUUUAAUUUAGUUUUUAUUUAAAUAAAAUAAUUUAUAUUAUUAAUAAAAUAAAUAAUAAUUUUAAAUAAUGUGGAUUUUAAUUUGGUAAAUGUGGCAAUGGCACAUCAUCAUGUCUAAUGUCAUGUCACUCAAAAAUGGUCUCAAAUUGGUAGGGGGCUAAAAUCCUGAAAAAUAACUUAAAAAAUGGACUAAAAACCUGAAUUUUAAAAUGGAGAGACCAAAACCAAAAAAUAAAAAUAAAAAUAGGGGGACCAAAAUUGAAAUUAGGCCUUUUAAUUUUAAUCUUUUGUUUUAUUUUCUACUAUUUUAUUUGGUGUAGUCCUACUAAGGUAUUUCUUGUUUGUUUAUGCGAGGUACUUAUUCGACAUUGAUACCAAUUGAUCUUGAAAUCAUAAGAACAAUGCAUGUAAUUCAUAGAGAAAAAUGAAAAGAACUGCAAGUUACCGAUGCAGUAAAAGAACAUAAAGUAGAGAUGAUUGUUCCACCACGUUAAAUGUUGGGGGGACUGUUGCAGAAUGACCAAAUCAAGGCAUACAUGUUUAGGAUUUCAACAGGCUAAUCUGGUAACAUUUGACAUUAAAAAUUAUUUACUUACAUGAUUGAAGAAGAACUCGUUCGAUGGAUAAGCAAUUACAGAUCCUUGGGAGAAUCUCGGUAAAUUCUACGAGACUUGCUCGUUGUGCAAACCAACUGGUGACAUCUCUGACGAUCAGGUAAAAUUACAUUUGUUUGCUUUUUCCUUGAUAUGUCGCGUGAAGGAUUGGUUGGAGUGCAAUCAAAAUGACACUAUUAAUACUUUGAAAGAGCUAAAAGAUAAGUUUCUAGAGAGGUACUAUUCAAAUGAUGAGUUUGUGGAGAGAAAAAAAAGAAAUUACCAACUUUGAUCAAGAAGAGUCGGAGUCAUUAUCUGAUACGUGGAAAAGAUUCAAGUUGCUACUCAGAAAGUGUCCAAGUCACAAUGUGAGUGCUAUAAAACAUAUGACGCACUUCAUUUGUGGGUUGAGAACACAAAUGAUAAUGUUUCUCGAUGCCUCAGUUGGAGGUACAUUGAGAUUAAAUAUUGAUGAAGAGUUUAAAACAUUGAUUACGAAUAUGUUUCAGAACGAGUAACGCUAAAGUAAGCACGUAAUGAAACAUAAAGGUAUUCAUGCACUUGAUUUGAACCCAUAUUUGUCCGCUCAGAUAGAAGCACUUACUAAGCAGUUAGCAGUAUCACAACUAACUUAAGCUAAUGUGAGCCGGAUUCAGAUACUUUGUUGUGAUUUUUGUGGAGGAGAACAUGCGAAUGGUAAUUGUACUAUAAAGUUUGAAGGCUUAGAAGUUCAGUAUCCUAAUUUCCAGAAGAAUAAUACUUAUUAUAACACCUACAAUCCGGGUUGGAAAGAUCAUCGGAACUUUAAGUGGAGCCACAAUCAGGCUUUGAAUUCUAAUCAAGGUAUUCCACAUGUUCCUCAAGUGCAUCAAUGUAAACCAUCACCUCUUGAAGAGACAUUGUCAAAUUUCAUGAAGAGUACUUAAGAAAGAUCUGUGCAAGUAAGUAAGGUGCAAGAGAACAUGGCUAAAACUAAACAAGAGAUGUCAUAGAAUCAGAUCCUAAUACACAAGAACACUGAAGCAUUCAUAAUAAACUUAGAGAUGCAAGUCAGUCAAUUGUCUCAACAAAUGGAAGUUCAAUCCAGUUGAAGUGGGGGAUUUAUAGGCAAUAUCAUAGAUAACCCAAAAAAUGAAACAUGCAAGGCCAUCGAGUUGAGAAAUAGAGUGGUGCAUUUCUAACUAGUCAAUGGUAACGAGAAGAAAGGAUCGAUUGAAGUUGAGGACAUGAAAGGAAAAUAAGUGGUAGUAGAGAAGGAGGUUGAGAAAAAUUCCGAGCGAUAAAAAAAUGAGCAUGAGAUUCACCCUUCAGAAAAAUGAAGAAAUAAAUCUAGAAUGAGCUAAAUCCUAAGCUACCUAAUUACAUCAAACCAUCUUAUCCAAUUUUGAAGAAGGCACCUAAAAAGGAAAAGGAAGUGAGUCAGUUUAAAAAGUUUAUGGAAAUGUUGAACUAGAUACAGGUCAAUAUUCCAUUUUGUGAAGCCCUAAAUGAAAACAUCGCUUUGGAGAAAGAGUGCAAUGCAGUCAUUUGGAGGAAGCUUCCACCAAAACUUAAUGAUGUAGGUAGGUUUUUUAUUCAUUCUUCCAUUAAUUCACCAAGAACUAAUCAUGCAUUAUGUGAUUUAGGAGCUAGCAUCAAUCUAUUUCUGUUAUCCUUGAUGAGAAAGUUGAAGUGUGACGAACUAAAGCCAACACCAAUAACCUCGACAUUGGCUGAUCAUUUGAUGACAUAUCCAUAUGGAGUGCUGGAAGAUGUCCUUGUUAGGGUUGCUAGGCAUUCCUGAAGAUUCAGAAACAUCAUUACUAUCAGGAAGACCGUUCUCGACAAUAGGUAAAACUCUCAUUGAUGCAGCACUGGGAGAAUUGAUACUAAGAUUUAUCAAAGAGAAAGUUGUCAUCAAUGUUUUUAAGCACUAAAGCACCAUAAGUAAAAUCCUCAGUGUUACCAGGUAAGCAUGGUGAAAGAAAAACCGAAAAAUCUCCAUGGAAAGAAAAUGCUAAGAAAGAAAUUUCAGGAAGGACAGGAAGUUAUGUUGUAUAAUUCUCAUUGGAAAAGACUGCUAGGUAAGUGAAAAUUUAAAUUUAUGUUCCUUUUAUUAUGAAUGAAGUUUUUGCAAGUGGAGCAGUCGAAGUAAUUGAUCCUAGAGAUGCAUGUACCUUUUUAAUACCAUUUUUUUCCAAGAAGAGUACUAGUCAAAACUUAAGAAGCUAUUUCCCCUUGUACUUUUCUUUGUUUGAAUAUAAUGAGUUUGUUUACUUUUGUUGUUUCUUUUAGUUUUAAAUUUUCUACCUUAUCAGUGCCAUGAUGAAAAAGAAUAGAAAAGUCACCAUAAAAAGAAUGAAUGAAAGAGAUCAACAAUGAAGUUCCCAUGAAGAUUGAAAGUUGAUGAAGAAAAGGGAAAUCGUCUACAUGUACUCAAGCUUCAGAUACCCUAGCUUGUAAAGUUUUAGCCAUCUUUGGAGUUAGAUAAAGAUAAUUGGUUUACUUGUCUGAUGCAAAGGAAUAAAUUUGGGGUUGUUCAUGGAAGUUAGCAACAAAUAUGUUUGGGGUUGGGGUACUAGAAAAUUGGUCAAAAAUAAAAACAAAAAGAAGAAGAAAUAAAAAUAAGAAGUUAGAAUAAUUUCUUCAAAAAGAAAAAAAAAAGUGUGAAAAAUAGGACCAACAAUAUGCAAAUCUUUAGUACCAAGUGAAUUAUAAAAGAGUGAUUUGGAAGGAAUUCGAUAACAUCGGAAAAACUAGAUACCUAACUCUAAAGUUUUAUGCCUACUAUCCUAAAUUAUUCUACUCUGACGUAAAAGACCUCAAAAGUGUGUAUUUAAAGGGAAAUUUGAUUGAUUCGAUUAGAAAUUUCCCAAAUUUAUUGUUAAAUGCUUUUGUUUUUUGAUUGAGUGAUUACUCUAUCAAAAUUGAGUGCAUAAGUGUGAGAAGAGAGACAGGCUGAGUACUCCUAUGUCAGAAUAACUUUUCCGAGUUAAGUGGAUUGAAGCAGGGAACUGAAUUGUUGAUUAGAAAAAUAAAGGUGACAUUCAUUGGUAAGGGUAACAAUUUUUAAUUCUGACGAAAUGUUUAGUGUGAUAACAUGUUACUUGAGGACAAACAACAUAUUAAAUUUAGGGUUUUGAUGACAUUCAUCAUUAUGUAAUUUUUAUGAGAAAAUUUGGAUGAAUUCAGAAGAAUAAUGAGCAAAAUCCACGUCAAAGUAUUAAGAAUUGAGCCAAAAUGCAAGACAAAAAAGAAAUUAACACUUAGUGAAAAUUAUGAAGAAAAAAAGUGCAAUUUGCUUGGUAUAGUAACUCUCACACGAUCAUGCCUUUAACUUUAUCUAUGUAUGACUGAUGACUUUACUCUUUUUGUUAGCGCAGAGAAAAUGACAAACGUCAAAGUGGAUAAGAAGAAUUUAUCUGUGCAUUUUCAUGCACAUUCUUUCACUAUUAUGUUGCAACAAUUCUAGAGUGUCUUUUGUUAUUUUUACUGUUUUAGUGUUAGUGUGUUUCCUUCGUAGGUCAUAACAUGGGCUACAAGAAUCAAAUUGACACGUUCUAAUACGCGUUUGGAAGCUGAGAGGAUAAGCUAAAAGUUCCAUGUUGAAGUCAUAAGCAGAUUCAGAGCAUAGACGACUCGAAUAAGUCGUUUUAGUUUAAGACUUUAGAAAAUAAUUAGUUUUGGGUCGGUUUUUAUGUUUUCCGACCCAGUUUGAAUUAGAACCCGAAUUCUUAUUUUGUUUAACCUAAGUCAGUCGCGAUUAGAUGGCCACUAAGCUUUCAUGGAGAACUAAACCACUUUGAAGUUGAUAUGUUGUAUUCAGGUUCCAAAACUUUGAGAUUAUUAUAAUUUGGAAAUAUAAUUUAUAUUCCCUUCAAUUCUGUUGUAUGAUUAUUGUUUUCUUAAUCUGAUUUGUCAUAGAGUAAUUUUGUUUGGUUCGAUUGAUAUAUGUUCCCCAAUUUUAAUCGCGCUUAACUCAACUUAUUUGUUUAUUCGCGUUAUCUCUAACUGAUGUCUUAAUUUGACAAACAGGAAUAUAAUUCUUAUAAUAUCAUUACCGCUUGUUGAUUGAUAUUAUGGUCGAACAUGAUAUUGAAUUCUCUUAGGGAAGUGAAUUUAUAAUAGUUGAUGAUAGGUAGGAAUCAAAUCAGUAGAUUAAAUUUUUUAUCGCAAUUAUAAUCAGUUAUGUUAACUAUGUUCUUAGUCUUAAUCGAAACCGAACCCCCUAUUGUUCUUUUAGUUGGUAAAAAUUAAUCCAAGAGUCCUUGCCAUAUAACUCUUGAGUGUCGCUUCACUAAAAUACAUUGUUUAAUUACACGUUUUAGACACAUGCACGACAUCGGAUCACUGCCACUGGGAUGAACACGGGCAGUGUGAGGAAACAAUAUUUGCCCGUGUUAUUCUUUGGAAAAAUAGACGGGGAAGUCUAGGAACAACAUGGUUUGUGUCAGGGAACACAGUCAUCCCAUGUUGUUCCUGGGUCUGAUGAAUAUGCACAUCUCUUUGGUCCAACACGACUCGUGUCAGCUGUCACAACCCAGUAGUGUUGGCCUUAAGUCUUUUAUAUGAGUGGACUUACUUUUUUGUAUGUUUCUUGAUCUUUUUCGGCUUAUCUUGGUCUGACACCCCAUUAUUACCUGAAAAUAGAAAAAGCACACCAAAGUGCAUAAAGUCAAAAUAAAAUAAGGAAAUAAAGCAUAAUAAAUGCGCAUAACAACACACAAUAAGCGGUGUAAACACCACUUAUAAGAUAAAAUGACCAACUAUAUUAGUAUAGUAACUCUCACAUGAUCAUGUAUUUACCUUUAUCUAUGUCUGACUAAUGACUUUACUCUUUUUUGUUUGCGCAUAGAAAAUGACAAACGUCAAAGUGAAUGAGAAGAAAACCAUAUUGGCUCAGGCUAAAGCCCGUCAUGGAGAGAUCCAACCGGUACACCAUAGUGAUCCCGCUGGCGUUCAAACUCAGGUUGUAAUAAAGAGAAAGAGUGUUGAUGGUUUCAUAGUGAAGGUUGUCCAUGUCUCUAACCAAACUAUCGAUGGGACAUCAAAAUCAUCCCCUAUAAAUAAAUACCAGGGAUUGCAAGAAUGUUAUUUGUGAUACGGCUCCGACUCACAUUGAUUUGGAGCCCCCUUUCCUUUUUGGAGGAAAAUGAGGGAAAGCAAGCGGACGCCUUCCAAAGGAGGUGGAGAAUUUAAGUUUUGGGACCAGAUUUUUGAUGGCCAUGACUUUUUGUAUGACCACAUUAAUUCCAAAGAAGAUGUCGAGAAAGCCAAGACUAUGGGCGCCCAAAAACUUCUUCAAGGUUUGGGGAUUUACUUCAUGAGAAGUUGCAUUCUAGGGUGUGCCUAUGUUUGAGGUAGUUGAUUUUUCCAACCAAUAUGGCGAUGAACGAAGGCUUGAGAUUUCUCGGGUAAAUGAGGCCCAAGCCACUUAUCAAACUCUCCUCACCUCCACUAGUGAAAGGAUUCUUGGGAUAAAAAAAGAGCUGAAAAUAACAUAGGAUGAUCACGACUCUCUCAAAGUAACGAAGGAUUCCAAGGAGAUCAGAUCUUAGGCACACUAAGAAACUUUCUCAGGCUUAGCAGGAGGUAAUCUCACUCAAAGGAUCUAUCAAAGGGCUUAAGAUGGACCUUACAGAAGAAAGCAUGAAUGACCUCCUGUCUAAGGAUCUUGGUUUCGACAAAGCCAAGGCUCAGAUCCUUUGCCUUUAUCAUAAUCUUGAUUUAUCCUAAUUGGAUUAUUUCAAGGUGGUAGUUGAUGGCCUCCUGGUGGAGGAAGUUGAACCAAAUCCAACUAAUAAGCAUAAUGUCUCUGCUCAAGAUGGGCCUGUCGCUAAGAAUCAAGAGCUUGAGAAGAGUAAUGUCGAGGAAUUGAAGGGCGAGAAAGGUGAUGUCCGCCCAUGAGACCUAAAUUUUAUGAUUCUUAUGUAAUGACUUUUUUGGCCCUUUAAGUGUUUGAUGUAAUGAUAUUAUUUGUUAUUUGGCUUAAAUUCACUUUUAGUCUCCCUAGUUUGAAUAUUUUAAACUAUUGAUCCCCCUAUUACAAAAUUAGCCAUUUUGGUCUCUUAAUUUUACUUUCAUUGGGUUUUUUGUGGUCCCCUCCAAUUUUACUUAUGUGUCCUCUUCAUUUAUGAGGUGGCAGUUUAAUUAUUGUUCCAUGUCAGCAAGUUUAACUUUUAAAAAACUAAAAAAACUUUUAAUUAAAAAAACAUUUAAAAGAUCCAUUUGUUAAAUUAAUUUUUAUCUUUUAAUUUUUAAUUCUUAUGAAUUUUAAUGUUAAUUUCCAUCCAGAUUUUUCUAAAAACCAAGUUAUAAUCUUUAUUAAUAUUAAAAUAAUCUUUUGCUUUUAAUUUUAAUUUUUUCUUAAAAGAACCGAAUUUUUAAUUUUUAUUUAUUACUAUUAUAAUCUUUUACUUUUAAUUUUGGUAGAUCUAGAAAUGUUUCUUUUUCUUUUCCCAUGAACCUUUCUUUUGCUUUUUCAGAAAUAUAUUCUUCUUCUUCAAUAAUGAUCCACCUUCUUCCUCACUCAUUUACAUCUUUCAUCCAUUAUAAUUUGUUGUAGAAAGAGCUAUAAAAAUUAAUCUGGAUUCUUUUCCAUCCAUUCUUUUUUUAUGGGUUCUUUUUCCAUAUCUAAUUUUAAAAUCUCAUAUGUUUGAUUCAAAUAACUAAGAAUUGAUGUUUUUUUUUGGGUUCUUUUUCCAAAUCUAAUUUCAAGAUCUCAUUUGCAGAAAACAAAAUUUUAAUCGGUCAAGUUCUCACAAAAAAUAAUCCAUAUGGAUUUUUUGGAUUUCAUAUAAUUUCAUAUUUGAUUUUAUGAAUAUGGAAGGUUUAUGAAUACGGAGGGUGUGUGAAUUGGAUAUGGAAGGGUUAUGUAUACGAAUCAAUUUGUUGAAAUAGAUCUCAAGAAACAAUUUGGGUGAGUUGAAAAAUCUGAAAAAUCUCAAAAACCAAUUUGUUGUCCCGUGCGUUUGUUUUUGUUAUAUUUUUCUUAAAUUAUAAAUUGUUUUCAGCUUUAUUGAUUUUCUAUUUUUUCAGUUUUUUAUAGCCAUUAUAAGUUAUUGUUUUUAAUUAAAAAUUAUUUUUAAUAUUUUUUUAAUUAAAAUAUUCAUUUAGAUUUUAAAAAAUAAUGUAUUGAUGACAUGGAUCCAAAGCCAAACUGCCACAUAUUAAUGAAGAUGAUACAUAAGCAAAAUUGGAUGGGGGACCACAAAAGUCCAAAGGCCAUUAAAAUUAAGGGACCAGAAUGGUUGGUUUUGUAAUAGGGGGACCAAUUAUUUAAAACGUCCAAAUUAGGUGGACCAAAAGUGCAUUUAAGCCUUGUUAUUUUAAUUAAGUCUUUGCAUAAUGAUUUUUCUUUUGUUUCUUCGAUUUUUGGUAUUGCUCCCACACUUGUUUUUGUGAUACUUGUUUUGAGAAUUAUUUACUCUUUUCACAUUUUAUUGAUCCAAUGAUAAGUGCCCCGUGUGGAGGUAUUUAGAUAACUCGGAGAGACUGGUGGGUUCCGAUCAAAUACCCCCUUAUGGAUGUUUUGGUUUAAACGACUUGGAGAUCCUAGUGUGUUCCAGUCAAGUGCCCUUUUAUGGAGUCGGUAGCUAAGAUGAUGGCCAUUUAAGUGUUGACUAUUAUGAUGUGCUCAUGUGGAUCGUUAUUCCCGUCAAAGGUGGCUAACAUAGGAAGGUUGAAAUUAUUUGGGACUUGGUCAUCCCAAAUUUUUUCGAUUAGAGGUUGAGUAUCAACCGAACCUUUCAAGUCAUCAUCAUCUAGUUGGAACGAUGUUGAUUCUGCUGCAAGGCGUGUACGCUUUCUUGCAACAACUUGUUUUGGUGGCACAUAUUUUCCACAACGGUGAUCGAUUCCUCUAUGGCAGCCUAUGAUUCAUGAUUCUUGUUGCUCUUCCUUUUUAUGUAAGGGUGAUGAGCUCAAUCGUUCAAAAUUUUGUGUGGCCUAGGAAAGUUUUACAAAUGCCCUACGUUGGGCGCCAAAUGUUCAUAAAUAGAACAAUAUUUAAAUAACUCCUCUAAUGCUAGUAAAAAAGAGACAUAGUAGGUGACUUCUUCAGACGAAUUUAAUCUAUUCUUUUUAGUUUGAAGGAUGCUCCUAUUUAUACUUAUUCCCUUGGCCUGAUACGAGACAAGGGAUGCUAAUGAGAUUAAAUGAUGAUCAAAAGCCAUAAUUGUCAUAUAUUUAAUAAUUAUUGCGUCAAGGGGACAUGUCUAGAUAUGCUAACAUCAUAUGAUAAAUGGUCAUAAAUGCUUGUCUUAUGUAUCCUGACCUUGGGGCAACCUAUAUCGCGCCUAGAAUUGAAAAUGUGCCAUGCCCUACUCAUGCCUAAGCCCGACCCACAAUUUUUGUGUCUAUCCUCCCAUUUUGUGAUGUACACAGUCCCCCAAGCAUGAGGCAUGGAGGGGCGAAAUACUUAAGAGCGUAGUUGUUCGGUUUAGUCCAACCAUACUAAUGGACUAUGUUCUUAAUUCUAAUUACUUCGAAAUUCCAAGAUGCACAUAGACCCCCAAACAUGAGACCUGGAAGGGUGAAGUGCUUAAGAGCAUAUUAGUAUGAAUUAGGUUAACCAUACUACUUGGGUUGGUUCCUAAUUUUACUUAGUACAAAAUUUUAGGAUGUACAAUAUUCUUUAGUGAUUCGAGGGGAAAGCAAUCAUCAAUUUGUAAUUUCUAAUGAUGAUUCUUCCACCUUGAUCAACAUUACACAUAAAUAUGGUUAUACUAGAAAAUAUUUUGGAAAUGGUUCCAGUUCUAAAAGUUCAUAUAGUGAAUGCAAAUUUGUGUCAUUGUAGUGGCUCCACUAUAGGUUUUUCCUACCAAUUUCAUGGUCAUAUGAAGUUAACAAAAACAAAUCAUUUGUAUGCUUCUAGUAGUGAAGGUGUGGAUACUUCUCAUUUUUCUGGUGUUACAGAGGUGGUUCUAUCCUCAAGUAACAAUUCUUCAAUUUCUAAAGAGAUAUAUGAUCAAUUUGUUUCCUUGCUUUAACAAGUGAAUUUAAUUUCCUCAUGUCAAGUCACUAACCCCGCUGCUAGCACCAAUUAGGUUUAUGUUUCAUUUAUUACUAUUAUAAUUCACUAAUUGAGUCAUUUUAAAGUAUUAUCUGCACUGAAUCUAGUUUCUUGCAUAAAAAAUGAAUUUUGGAAAAUAACUUCUUUUGCAAGUAAUCAAUGAGAAAAUCCCCCAAUUUAUCAGGAAAAUAAGAUAAAACGCUUGUGUUAACUUUUUAACUAUGUAUUUUUCAAGAACAUGAAAAAUGACCAAGAAUGCACCAAAAUCAAAUAAAAGCACCCCCAUUUAGGCACCAAAGAUCACUUAGCCAAGAACCAUAAUUUGAUAAGCCAGAAAUAGAGAGCAAUUGGCCAAGCAAUCCUCAAUUAGGCACUAAAACUCGCUAGCAAGGGCGCUAAAUGAGAUGUAGUGUGUUAGAAAGAUUCAGGGUGAAGCACAUGUUGGCUCGUUAAGACAUCUAGAGGAACGCUAAGUGAUAUUAAGACAGACAAUACCACUUGUAGAUGAGCUAACAUUUCUUAAUGAGGAAGUUUGUUGGUGUGAUAUACGAGGUACAUAACUCACUUAGCGAGAAUGGCAGGUUAUACCAUUAUAAUUAGGGGUUUAAGUAGUUCAUUUGAAAAUCGUGUAAAAUAUCUUAAAUAUAUAAUAUAAGUCUUGUUAGGGCUUGGUGUAGUUCCCUUAGUAGGGAAGGAGAAACACAACAUGAGAGGAAAAGAGAGGAAGAUCGAGAGGGAAGUGUUGUUUGACAAUUGGCGCUUUUCAAUAUCUUUCUUCUAGGGCUUAAUUGUAAAUAUAUGAUGAGUAAGCGUAGCUAAUUUUCUCUUUCAUAGGAGUUAUAUGUAGUUAUCCUAUUACUCAUGUUUUGAUAUCGAUCAUGGCGGUCUAUGUAAAUUUUAUUAAGCUUUAAUAUUGAUGAAUUCUAUGUUCUUAAUUCUUGUUUUGGAUUCGCUUCCUAAAACAUGUUUUCAUGGUAUAACCUGAUAUUCAAAAGGUAUUGGACAUUAUUAGAAUCAUGUUUUUCAUGUAUUGGAUAAGCUAAUGUUUAUACAUAGAUUUUGGUUCAUUAUCCAUAUAAACUAUUGAAACUUAAUGUUGUCUUAUUAGUUAAUAGGUUGAGAGACCGCAUAUUAGGUAAUAUGGAUGAAUUCACAUUGUUGACUCACCCAUGAGAUGCGAUGAGAGCUUCGAGUGGUAAUAUUAAUAAUUAUUAGGAGUUUAUAUUAAUGAUCAACGAUUCCAAUGAAAUCUAACCCGAAUAAUUUUUCUUAACUCUUAAAACACCAAAGUUCAUUUUAAUUUCUGUAUUCACAAACAAAUAAAACACCUAAUAAAUCAUCAAUAAAGUUAUAGAAAGUAUUGAACAGUCUUUAAAACACAUCUAAUCCUUGUGGAGAUGAUGAAAACUACACUUGUUUUCUGUAACUCUAACAAAGUGGCAUCGUUAUCGGGGUCUGACGUUAGUUUUUAAAGAUAUUGUGAUAUUUUCUUAUAUCAUUUUAAGUAUUAUGUUUAUAUUUGUUUAUAUAUGUUUAUAUUUUGUUUAUAGUCAAUAACCUACUAAAAAGUAUUUUCAGUAUAUUGGUAUUUGUUUAUGCGAGGAUAGGUUCCUGAUGAACAACUUAUGUUUGAUUCUCAAAUAGAACAAACCACAUGUAGAAACAAUACCAAGACUAGAAACACAAAGUUGAUAGCUAAGAAACAAGAUCUAGUAGAGUCUUUUGUCUCAAAAACAGAAACCAUGGCAGACACUGGUAACAAAAAUAACAAUAACAAUAUCGAGGAAAAUGCCAACAAAAACAACAAUAAUGACAAUAAGGGAAACUAAUAAUGGUGGUGGCAUGUCGUGCCACAACAGUCCAACACGACUAGCUCAUAUAGCUAAACCGCAAAGGAAUACCCUAUCACAACCUAAAUUUUAUGCACCAUUUCAAUAAGAGAUUUCUAUUUUUGGGUCAUCAGUUAUGUAUAGGUCAUUUGUCUUUGUCUGAGGCAUUGGGCCUCUGACUGAGUACUUUGCAUUUUUGUCUGAGUCAUUGGUCCCUGACUAUGUCAUUGUUGGUUCAUCUGAGUCGUGUCAUUUUGUCGAUGACAUUUAUCUUAGUUGGAGACAUGUGUCGUUAAACAUAUGUCUCUAACUCAUUUGAGUCACCUUAAUUCAUUUGGGCCAUCUGAAUAUGUUUGACAUUGUGGUUAAGUCGAUGGUCAACCCAGUUGACUAAAAGUCAAAGGGGAGCAUGUUGACUUUUUUAUUCAUUUCUUUUUUAAACUUAUUUCUAAAAUAGUCUUUUUUUUUGUUUCUUUCACUUUUAUUAAUUAAUCUCUUUUUAUUAACCAUUUUUAUUCUUAUUAAUUAGUCAUUUAGUCUUUUUAUUUUAGUUUUAUUAUUAUUUAUUUUUAAUGUUAAUUUAAUUUAUUUAUUUUAUUUUUAAUUCAUUUUGUCCAAAAAUCACCAGACACCAAAAACACAUCAAGACUUGCCAAAAUCAAUCAAAUCUCUAAGAAUCAAUUAUUUAUUUAUUCAUUCAUCCAUAAUCACAUACGAAUCGGGUUACAAUUAGAAAGUCCUUGAUUUAUUUCUUAAUUUACACAACUUUGACCCUAAGUUACAAAUCACUUAAACUCCAUCAAAAAUGUCCAAAUCAAAUGAAUCAAAUUUAAUUAUGAAACCUAAUUUCUAAUAUAUAAAUACCUAAGGGUUUUACACUGAAGAGGGGACGGAAAAAAAGAAAAAGAUAAAAAAUCACAAAAAGAAACCCUAAGUUAAUUAUCUUCGUAUUGAAGAAAUCAGUUGCCUAAACCCUAGUCGGACAUCAAUCCAAGCAGUACCUCACAACAACAGAAGAAGAAGAAGUUAGAAGUACAAAAAGGAAUAAGCAGAAAUUAAAAAGAAAUAGAAAUAAAGAGAAGGGAAAAAGAAGUAACCUUGAGGAUAGUCACUACACACCAUGUUGGUAUUUGCCCCUUUCAAAUUUUCUUAUUUGAUUUCUAUGAACAUGAGUUGUUUUGGAUGUUGUUUGGGUUAGGUUGAGUUUUAUUUUUGUUUAUGUUUAAUUUUAGGGUCAUUUGAGGCGGUUUUGAGUUGGGUUCAGGUCAGUCAGAAAGGGAUUAGGGCAUUUUUUGUUUGGUUUUUGUUUGGUAUGAUUUGUUGUUUUAAUGGUUGAUUCGUGUUCAUUAGGUGAGUAGAAGUAACUUGGUGUUUGUUUCGGUUGAUUUAGUGUUAGUUUUGAGUGUUUCUAGGUAGGUUAAGGUAAAGGUUGAAAGAGGAAGAUGAAGUUUCAUCGUGUUCUUGAUGAACACGAUGAAGGUGGAUGAAUAUGGACGAUGUAUUCUGGGUUUAAGGUGGUGGCUCAUGGUGGUGAUGUUCUUGGUUCUGGGUUCGUGGUCUUCAGGUUCAUGAGAACAUGAAUAACACAGCUGAAUAUGGUGGUUUUAAGGGUGAUUGGUGGUGGUCCUACGAAGGAGCUAAGGUUUUAGGGGUGGUGGUCUGAGAAGGGAGGUCUAUAGAUAAGGAAGAGAAGAGAGAAGAAUAGAGAUAUGAUAAGAGAUAAGAGAGAGAGAGAGAGAGAGAGAGAGAGAGAGAGAGAGAGAGAGAGAGAGAGAGAAGUAAUAAAUGGGAGAGGAUUCUUAUAUACCCUCCCUCUCCGUGCUCUUAUGGGUGCCACUUGGCUCCCUCAAAACCUUCAAAUUAACAUCCCAGUCUGAUUAGAUGCAUGCACCUCAUACUAGUGCACUCUCAUGGGCCUUUGAUCUUGGAUCAAACGACCAAGAGAAUCUUAUUUUGAAUCCAUUACGGUGAUCAGAUCAAUAUGAUGGCCAUACUUCCCCCAAUUUGUUUUUUUUUUGUUUUUUAUUUUUUAUUCUGACGCGCCUAUUAGGGUUUAGGCCUUAAAUCUCCUUCUAUUCGCAAUGCCCCAUUUUCUACUGCACCCCAUAGUUUUAUUUAUUUAUUCCUUUUUUUGUUAAUUUAUUUAGUUGAGUUUAUUUUUUAAUUAAAUUACUAUUAAAAUACAAAUAAUAAUAAUAAUAAUAAUAAUAAUAAUAAUAAUAAUAAUAAAUAUUAAAAAUACCAAAAGCAAUAAAUAUCCCAAAAUAAAAAAUAAUAAGUAUAAAGUUUAUGAAAAGGCAAAAAUGAUUAUUUUCUUUUUAAAUUAAAUUUCCCUUAAAAUACUUUAAUUAACAUGGAAGGAAUGAGUGAAUGCACAUUCAUUUGUUUCUCGAGUAAUCGAGGGCUUAACGUACGCUUUGUUUGAAUGAUUAUUUGCCUUCUAUAAAUAGAUUUUCACAAUAAAUUUAAAAUCAAUCUCAAAUCAUCAAAUCAUUUUUUCCUAGUGCAUUUAAAACAAACUUUUCAUAAAAAUAAUUGUGUUUGACUCAUUUCGAUGCGAAAUACGAACAUACACUUCAACCUCCAUCGUACAAGGAUAUAAACCGAUGUUUAACCGUUCAAAUGGGUUAAACACUUUUCUCUAAAAACAACCAACACACAAACAUUUUAUACCAAAGAAAUAUGUAGCCUUGAGUUCCCCAUUGCACAGGGAUACGUAGGAACGAGAUUCAACAUCUCGUCAGGCCCAUUAAUCAAAAACUAAAAUUUUGCCCCUUUUAUAAACGUCCUUUUAAUAAAUAUAGAACUGAAAACACUUUUUAAACUAAACACUCACAAAACUAAUUAGAAUGUUCUCAUUGAGUACAACGGAUAUGAGGGUGUGCUAAUGCCUUCUCCUUGCAUAACCGACUCCCGAACCCGAAACGGGUUGUGACGACCAUGUUUUCGUUCUUGAAGGGUUUUAUCGAUGUUUCAAUUUAAAAAUAAAACUUCGGUGGUGACUUUGUAGUUAAUUUCGAGUGUUCAUAACGCUUGUGCAUUUUUCGCACCGUGACAUACCCGUAAAGCUGAGUUUAAACUAGGAUUAUUGCAAAUUAUUUAUGCUAACACUUUUGUAGGAUUAGAUCAUGAAUAUCCAUAUACACAUCUCACAAAAUUUUAUGAGUUUUCUGGUACACUUGGAACUCCAGAAGCUGAAUAAGAUGCAAUAUUCAUGAAAUUGUUUUCACACUCAUAAAUUAGAAAGUCAAAAGAAUGGCACCUUAAUCAACCAACACAAGUGAUAACCAAUUGGAAUACAUUGGAGUAAAGUUCAUGGAAAGGUUAGUUCCUCGUAGCAAGUUAAUGGAAGCUAAAAUAAAAAUUUUGUAUUCUUCCAAAGCGCAAAUGAAAGUUUAUGUGAAGCGUGGGAGAGAUACAAAUUCAUGUUGUGAACAUGUCCAAUUCAAGGUUUUGAUGAUCUCCACCAGAUACACAUCUUGCUUAAUUUCUCUCUUAAUAGGGUAGGACCCCGCUUAGAAAGAAGCAUAUUAUAAAAUAUUUGGAAACAAAUUCAUUUCCCAAAUUUAAAUCAUUUUCCACUUUUUAUUCACUUCUUCCAUAUCCCAAAAACCCUAAAGAAAACUAAGAGAAUUUCUUCAAAGGAAAAACACCAUGUUUACUAUCUUCGAUUAGUUCAAAGUCGCUAUGGUAUGUCAAUUUAAUCCAAAGUCUUUGCAUUAUAAUGUUUAUACAACCCGAACUUGCUUGACCAAACUCAACAUUCUCCUAGUUUAGAAAUGAAAUAUGAGUUACAAUUUUUCUUCAUUGUUGUUGAUUGUAUGUAAUGAACCAAUGCAUGCCUGAUUCUUUAAACCAAGGAAAUAAAAUGAACAUUGGAUUUGAGUUAAAAUUUUGACAUGUUGUGAGAUCUAGGCUUCAAGGAAUAGGAACAUACAAAAAUUAAUCUAGAUCGAUUAAUGGUUGACUGAAUGUACUUUAUUGGAAGCAUGUAGGAAAAUGAAACCAUAAAAAAAACAUGGCCUAGGUAUUCAUCACUAAUGAUAAAACAUCAUGCAUAAGAGAGAAAGGUUGAAUUUUCACACUCGGUCAGAAUGCCAAAAAAUAUUCCAAUCUUUGCAUGUUAUUGAUGGGAAUUUGCAGAUGGCUUCAAUAUCAACCGCAAGACGAAAAUGAAAAGCUAGAGUAGGGUCAUCUGAAGUUCCCUAUGAUGGUUACAUAUUUUCAUGCCUGGUAGGUGAGGAAUGUUAUGCUUAAUUGGAGAGCAUAAGUAUAUAGCCAAAAUGGACGAUUGAAUUGGAAAACCCGGGGGAUUAUUCAAAAAUUGUACAGGAAAUCAAUUAGAGGAUGGGAUGUUUUAGAAUAUCCUCCCAAACAUAUUAAUCUGGAUAUAAUGCGGGAACUUUUUUCAAAUUCCCAACCAUCUCAUGAAGCAUCGUUUGCAAGAUUAUUCUUAGUGAGGGCAUGUGGUUGCUUUUGAUAUGGACACCAUCUAUGCUUACUUUGAAUACAAAUAUGCGACUGAUCAGGAGAGACUAGAUCAUUUUCCUAGGAAAUUGGAAAGAGGUAACUUGGAUUAUGACAGGAUAGCUGUAAAACUUUAUGAUGAAGGAAAAUCCUAUGAGGCGAGGCGAGAUGAAAAUCCUAUCUACUUCAAGACAUCUGAUAUGUGCAUCUAGUCCCCAAAUUUGGAUGGCCUUCAUUCGCCAUAACAUUAAUCUUAAGAGUCAUACUUCAUAUGCGCCUCUUGCUACUACACAUUUAAUUUAAUAUAUCCUUAAGGGAAAACAAUAGACAAUUUGACAAAGAAACUGUCAAAUCUCCUACAACAAUUAAAAGAAAUACACAAGACACCUACUCAUAGAUAAAUCACAUUAUGUGAGCUAUUUAGUAGCGAUCACCCUAUUGGAUCUUCCCCCAACUAAUAAUGUCAACUAUGAUGGAAACCAACAAAGGUCGAGGCAAUAUAACAAUUAAAACUUCCAAAGGAACAAUUUUAAUCAAGGUAUGAGACCAAAGGCAAGUUCUUUAAAUAGGAAACUGUAUCAACAUUAUACAUAAGUACCUCUAGAAUAUAAAUCAACAAAGAUGGAGGAUACAUUUAACCAAUUUUUUCCGAUGUUGAUUGUCAACUAGAAGAAUAUCGAUGUCGCAAUCAAAAAUCUUAAAACUCAAAUUGAUCAACUGGAAAAGUAGUUUAUUGAUCAACAAGUGGACUCUUUUAAUGCCAACACACACAAAAAUAUAGAAGAACAUUGUCAUUGAAUUGAUAUUGACAAAUAAGAAAAAGUUAAAAAGGUCAUGGAGUAGAAGAACCAAAUGAAACAAAAUAGGAGAAAAGCAUUGAUGAAAUCCAACAAAGUCUACCACAAAAGGAAGCAAAUCUUGGUGUAAUUGUAUUACCUAUUUCUAUAUGUGGUAUAAUAGUUGGAAAUGAACUCAUAGACUUGGGUGCUAGUGUAACUUGAUACCAAUGAUGGUAACAAAAAUGACUGUUGAACUCAAACUAGAGCCAACAAUGAUAACAUUACUAAUGCCUGACAAAACAUCCAGAAAGCCAAUGGGAAUAAUUAAAUAUUUUAUUAUUAAAAUUGACAAAAUCAAAUUUCUUGUAGAUUCCAUGGUGCUGGACUUUGAGGAAUAUCUAAAGAACCCUCUUAUCAUAGUAAAACCCUUCAUGAAUACCUCAAGUAUGCUUGUGGACAUUGGCACAUGUCAAGUGAAGAGAAGGAUCAAAGAAUGUGAGGAAUGUUUUCAUAUGAUAGGUAUAACCUAGAAUUAAAAGCGUUGAGCUAAGGAAAUUACAUAAAGCAGUUGUUGGGAGGCAACCCAACCGAUUUUUGAAACGUUUUCAAUUUUAUGAUAUAUUUCUGUAGUGUUAGAAAAUAGUGUUGGAAACUCUGUAUAUGAAAAACACCAGGAUUUCCUCGCUACGAGCACUUUGGCAUGGGCCAAGUCCCACUUAUUGAGUUUUGUAGAAAAGCACAAGCCUAAAAGCACAAUAUCUCUCUUAAUAGGGUAUGACCUCGCUUAGAAAGAAGCAUGUUAGAAAACAUUGGAAAACAAAGUCAUAAUUGAUUUCCCAAAUUUAAAUCAUUUUCCACUUUCUAUUCACUUCUCCCAUAUCCUAACAACCCUAAAGAAAACUAAGAGAAUUUAUUCAAAGAAAAAACAUCACAUUAACUCUUUUGGAUUAAGUUCAAAGUUGUUAUGGUAUGUCAAUUUACUCUAAAGUAUUUUCAUUACACUUUAAUGUUUAUACAACAUGAACAUGGUUGAACAAACUCAAUAUUCUCCUAGUUUAGAAAUGAAAUAGGAGUUACAAGUUUUCUUCACUGUUGUUGAUUGUAUGUAAGGAACUAAUGCAUGCCUAGUUGUUUAAACCAAAGCAAAUAAAAUGAACACUAUUAUUUGAGUUGAAAUUUUGACAUGUUGUGAGCUCUAGGAUUCUAGGAAUUGGAACAAAUAAAAAUUCAUCUAGAUAGAUUAAUGGUUAAUUGAAUGUACUUUAUUUGAAGCAUAUAGGACAGUAAAACUAUAAAUCAAAAACAUGACCUAGGUGUUCAGCACUGAUGAUAAAACAUCAUGCAAAAGAGAGAAAGGUUGCAUUUUCACACUCAAUCAUAAUACCUAAAAAAAUUCCAAUCUUUGUAUGUUGUUGAUUGAAAAUUACAUAUGGCUCUAAUAUCAAUCGUAAGACGAAAAAGACAAGCUAGAGUAGGGUCAUAUGGAGUUACCUAUGAUGGUAGCAUACUUACAUGCCUGGAAGGUGAAGAAUGUUUUUCUUAAUUGGAAAGCAUAAGUAUAUAGCCAAAAUGGACUGUUGAAUUGGAAGACUUAGGGGAUUAUUCCAAAUUUGUACAGGAAGUCACAUAAGAGGAUAGGAUGUUUUAGAAUAUCCUCCUAAGCAUAUUAAUCUGGAUAUAAUGCGGGAAUUUUAUGCAAAUUCCCAACCACCUGAUGAAGCAUCAUUUGCAAUACUUUUUUUUUUGUGAGGGCACGUGGUUGCUUUUGAUAGGAACACGAUCCAUGCUUACCUUGAGCACAAAUAUGCGACUGGUCAGGAGAGACUAAAUCAUUUUCCUAGUGUAGCACCUCAAAUUUGCACCUCCCAUUUUGUACGUACAUUUUCAUUUUAGGUCAUUAACAUUGCAUUGUUCAUUACAUAGUUCAUUGCAUGUCAUCAAUCAGACUGGUCAGGAGAUUCAAUUGUGCAAGAAAGCAAGUGCAUUCUCCAUGGAAUCAAAGCCCUAGGGUUGAUUCAUUGAGUUCAUGUGAUUCAAGGAUCAUUUUGAAGUGGUUUGGUCAAGCAUUGGAUGUUCAAAGCUCAUCAGUUCAUGUACAAUUCAUCUGAAACCCUAGAAAGUCAACCAAAGUCAACUGUCAAUUCAAUCAUGGAUUUGAAGGUGGGAGAUGGUUAGAGAGACCUCAUUCAUGUCCAUACAAGUCUCAUUUGACAUUUCAAACAUCAACAAUGAAGAAUUUGAGGUCAGAUGAAAACUUUCNAAAAGAGAGAGAUUCUUAACCUAGACAUUGAGAGUUAGGGUGAAGUCGAAUGAAUGGGAAGGAAGAUAAGAACUUCACAGCUCUAUCCUGGCCGGAGAGCUUCAGACAAAGUGAAAGUGGUGGGAAGUUCAGAAAGUAGGAAACUCUUCUAAUCCCACAUAGGACUGACAUAACAAGGAUCCUGUGGUUAGUAUCCACAAUGCAUCAACACAAGGUGUGUGAGCAAAAUGGAUGACACACUGAGUAGCAAGGAGAUGGGACUACACAUCUCUGUUUAUCUGCAAUGCCUCUUCACUUAGGAGGCUUUGAUAUGUACAGGGAAAGAUAAACAAACACAAGCAAUUGCCUCUUAAGGAGGCCUUCAGACAGGUGCCUGCCCAAGUACAGGACAGGUCCCUUAGACUACAUGAAGUCGGAAGAAGUUAUACCUCUGUGGUUAAGCAAACCAAGGCAAAAAGCAAGUUUUCAAAUUGAACUUAAGCAACUUAUGUACUGAAAACAAUCUAACUCAGUCAGUACAUAAUCAAAUGAACUAAACGACAACCAAUAGUCAACAGUCAAACGUCAAACAGACAAGCAAUGCAAUAGGUGCAAGGACCCAAGCUCAAGCUCAAAUGAGCUAACAUCAACCUACAAAAAAAUCAAGAUUAGUCCAAAAAACAUCAACCAAACAAUCCAACUCAAGCAAUGUGAAUCAAUCCCUCAUGGCCAUAUGCUUCUUAUGCCUGAAAACAUAGCUCAACAUAAGCACAAACCACUAGGACAAGGCCUAGGUCAAAGAUGGAGAAAAAAUCCAAAACAGAACAUGAAUUUCACAAGAAUCCAACCUCAAUCAAUUAAGAACACAAUCCAAAAGUCUCAUGUCAAUGCAUCAACCAAUUCAUUUCACAAAUCAAUCAUGGCAAGGGUAUGCAAGUUGAAAGUACAUUGAGCCAACAGAAUGAACAAAUGCCAUUAAUUCAAAAAUGCUUCAGUUAAUCUUCAAGAAAAAUCAGGCUAAAAGAACACAAAAAUGAUCACACACCAUAAUUAGGGAAUUGGACAAGUUUAAGCAUAGUAAUCAAAUUCCAUAAGCAAGGCAAUCAAAACAAAUUCAAAUAGGAUACAAUUGGUACAUCAACUUAGCACAACCCUAAAACAUAAAUUGGCAAAUGAUAAAGACCUAAAACCAAAGCCACAACAAACUUCAAUAUGUCUAGAAACAAUGUGCAAAUUUCCAUCCAUAUGAUAAACAACCAGCAUUUCACAAAUCAUUGAAGUUAGACCAUUCAAAAGCUCAUAAAUGACAAUCCAGAAAGAAAAAUCUCAAGCAAAUCAGAAAUCCAUCAAAAAAUUCCAAGAAAUUUCAUGACCAAUCACAACAUGCUAGGAAGCAUCAAUGACAAAAUCACAUCAAUUAGAGUUUAUUGCAUGGCAAAUCAAUUAAUCAAGUUGAGGCAAGCAAAGGUGUGACAGACAGUUGUCACACUACAUUAACAUGAGCAUAUCUCAGCAACACAAAUGAUAAAAUGCAAAACUCAACACCAAAUGUCAGCAAGAUGUCUAGUUUAAGCAUGCAAAAAUAUCAAAAGCAUUGUAUAAAACUCAUCAUUUCCACAAAGCAUAUGGCAAGCACGGUACAAAAUAUGACACACAACACAAACCCUAGCAAAACUAAUUUUCAUCCGAGCCAAUUUAUGGAAAAAUAAUGAAGAAAACUAGACACAAUAAGGAGCAUGAUGAAAAAUCCACACAUUAUUUGGAUGAUUAUUUUAUUUAGUUAUGAAUUUUUUGAAGUGGAAGAAAAAUUAAAAAAAACAUGAAAAGCUAGCACAUGAAUAUAUGAGGAAAAUGAAUAAAUGCAAUGCAAUUUGAAAAAAGUGCUGUGAGCCGGAUUCGAAGUGAGUAAAAUUUUGAAUAAUGGCGCUGGUGCUAAACGGGACCGUUCACUUAAGAUUGGCUCUGGCCAAUCAGAGCGCUGCAUGAGCGGCUGCAUGCACCAAUCAGAAACUGGCUUGGGAAAAAACACAUGCGACAAGCUGAAUACACGCUACAGCGUGGAUCAAACAGAGUUUCUGGACAUCGAAACCUAGCAACUUCAUCGACAUUCAUACCACGUUCUGUCAUACCAAGAACACAUGUUCAAAAAUUAAAAAUAAACAUAUCAAUGGAUUCCUCUCUCAACAUACAUCACUAAUCUAACAGCAUGUUUUAACCUAAUUCCACGUAUCAUGAACAAACGAGGCAAGAACAUUCACAUGUCAAACUAAAAUCACAUAAUUAACAACAAUACUUCAUGAAAAUCAUUGAUCUAAACCUCAGCAUGCUCAGUGUUGAAGGUCCUACACUAUCACUGUAUCAAUUCAACGAAUUAAUGGAAUCGAAUUCUGACCUUGUUGAAGAUGCAGAAGUGAAAUAGGUGAUUUCAGGCCUUGAGAAGCAUAAACAGAUCUUCCUAAGCUCUGUAUGAUGGAAUGGAUAAGGUUGAAGGUUAAUCGAGCUUGAUUUGUCCAGAAUUCUCACUGCCAUUGAUGAAUGCAAGCUUCGAGCUGCUUCCAAAAUGCAUGAAAUCCCUGAUCUUGCUUCCAAAAUACUCAAUUAUGCUUAUGGAUGAUGAAUCAAUCAAGGAAGAUUGCAAUGUAUAUGAAGAAAUUGAAGAAAUUUCAGAUCUGAAAAUUAUGAAGUGUUUGUGAAUUUUCUGUUAUGAUUAGCUAUAUAUAUGAGCCCUAAUCAUGUUGUUAAUCACAAUUAAGCCAUGCCAAUGGAUUAGGAAAAAGGUGUAAAUGCAAAUUGGCCAAUGCACCUCAUGCAUGAGAUUACAAUGGAAAACAGUGCACAAAAUGGCUUAGGAAAUCAUUGAAAUUCUGUUUUGAGCCAAGUGCAAAUGGUAAAAUGUGAAAACAAUGCUUAAUUUUCAAUUGGAAUUUCCCUCCAAAAUUCAAUGAAAAUGCAAUAUUUUUGUGAUGGAAAUGCCAUGGCAUAUGAUGCAUGAUUUGGAUAAUAGAGAUCAAGAGAGAAAUUUGCAAAAGAGUCACUCCAUUUGGACAUUUGGUGUGAAAGUUAUGCAUUCUUGAAGUUCAAAUUCACUGGCCAUGAUUGAUCCAUAUCUUUUCAACCACACAUGAGAAUUCAUGAUCUUGGACUUUUUGGAAAUGGGAGAACAAUAUAUUCAACUUUCAUGUUGGAACAAAUUUUAUUUGAAGCUUGCUUGAUGAUGUAAUCUUGAGAGAAAACCUUUCCAUUUUGGCAAUUUCAAAUUACAGGUCACUUUCUAUUUUUGGAAAGUUUUCAUCUGACCUCAAAUUAAUACAAUGCUUUUGAUAUUUUGCAUGCUUAAACUAGACAUCUUGCUGGACAUUUUGGUGUUGAGUUUGCAUUUUUAUCAUUUGUGGUUGCUGAGAUAUGCUCAUGUUAAUGUAGGUGUGACAAUGUCUGUCACACCUUUGCUUGCUCAACUUGAUUAAUUGAUUUGCCAUGCCAAAUAAACUCUAAUUGAUGUGAUUUUUUGUAUGAUGCUUCCUAUGCAUGUUGUGAUUGGUCAUGAAUUUUCUUGGAAUUUUUUGAUGGAUUUCUGAUUUGCUUGAGAUUUUUCUUUCUGGAUUGUCAUUUAUGAGCUUUUGAAUGGUCUUAAACUUCAAUGAUUUGUGAAAUGCUGGUUGUUUAUCAUAUGGAUGUGAAAUUUUGCACAUUGUUUCUAGACAUAUUGAAGUUUGUUGUGGCUUUGGUUUUAGGUCUUUAUCAUUUGCCAAUUAUGUUUUAGGCUUGUGCUAAGUUGAUGUACCAAAUUGUAUCCUAUUUGAAUUUGUUUUGAUUGCCUUGCCUUAUGGAAUUUGAUUACUAUGCUUAAACUUGUCCAAUUUCCCUAAUUUAUGGUGUGUUGAUCAUGUUUUGUGUUCUUUUUAGCCUUGAUUUUUCUUGAGAUUAACUGAAGCAUUUUUGAAUUAAUGUGCAUUUGUUCAUUCUGUUGGCUCAAUGUACUUUCAACUUGCAUACCUUGCCAUGAUUGAUUUGUGAAAUGAAUUUGGUUGAUGCUAUUGACAUGAGACCUUUUGGAUUGUGUUCUUAAUUGAUUGAGGUUGAUUCUUGUGGAAAUUCAUGUUCUGUUUUGGAUUUUUUCUCCAUCUUUGACCCUAGGCCUUGUCCUAGUGGUUUGUGCUUAUGUUUGAGCUUUGUUUUCAGGAUAAGAAGCAUAUGGCCAUGAGGGGAUUGAUUCACAGCCUUGUCCUAGUGGUUUGUGCUUAUGUUUGAGCUUUGUUUUCAGGAUAAGAAGCAUAUGGCCAUGAGGGGAUUGAUUCACAUUGCUUGAGUUGGAUUGUUUGGUUGAUGUUGACUAAUCUUGAUUUUUUUUGUAGGUUGAUGUUAGCUCAUUUGAGCUUGAGCUUGGGCCUUGCACCUUAUUGCAUUGCUUGUCUGUUUGACUGUUGACUGUUGACUAUUGGUUGUCUGUUUAGUUCAUUUGAUUUAUGUACUGACUGAGUUAGAUUGUUUUCAGGUACAUAAGUUGCUUAAGUUCAAUUUGAACUUGCUUUUGCUUGGUUGCUUAACCACAGAGGUAUAACUUCUCCGACUUCAUGUAGUCUGGAAGACCUGUCCUGUUACUUGGGCAGGCACCUGUCUGAAGCCCUCCUUAAGAGGCAAUGCUUGUGUUUGUUUAUCUUUGUCCCUGUACAUAUCAAAGACCUCCUAAGUGAAGAGGCAUUGGCAGAUAAAAGAGAUGUGUAGUCCAUCUCCUGCUACUCAGUGUGUCAUCCAUUUUGCUCACACACCUUGUGUUGAUGCAUUGUGGAUACUAACCCAAGAUCCUUGUUAUGUCAGUCAUAUGUGGAUAGAAGAGUUCCUACUUUCUGAACUCCCACACUUUCAUUUGUCUGAAGCUCUCCCAGGCCAGGGAUAAGAGCUGUGAAGUCUUAUCUUCACUUCCCAUUUCAUCGACUUCACCCUAACUCUCAAUGUUAGGGUUAAGAGCUAACUACACCCGAUUCCAGUUGGCUUGUGUUUCACAGUCUAACCUUGUGUGAGCCCACUUUGUUUGUAUAUAAUGUGUGCUAAUUGUGUGUAUGAUUGCUUUGCCUGUGCUGUUUAGGAUAGCUUGCUCCCUGUGCAAGUUAGGUAGAAACUUCAACCUAGGACCAUGGUGAAUUUGCAUGAUAACUAUUAGGCUCGAGUUAGUCUCCCUUUUAGUUUGUCAUUUCCCAGUCUCUGGUUAGGUUAGAAGUUCUUUCCCUGCGUAGGGGAACUACGUCGCCCUGAUCCUCAUACCAGAUGAGGUACGUAGGCAGGAGAUGAGCUGAUCUCUCCGGGCGCCCUUUUUCUUUUUCAACCCCUUUGUGUGUGUUNNNNNNNNNNNNNNNNNNNNNNNNNNNNNNNNNNNNNNNNNNNNNNNNNNNNNNNNNNNNNNNNNNNNNNNNNNNNNNNNNNNNNNNNNNNNNNNNNNNNNNNNNNNNNNNNNNNNNNNNNNNNNNNNNNNNNNNNNNNNNNNNNNNNNNNNNNNNNNNNNNNNNNNNNNNNNNNNNNNNNNNNNNNNNNNNNNNNNNNNNNNNNNNNNNNNNNNNNNNNNNNNNNNNNNNNNNNNNNNNNNNNNNNNNNNNNNNNNNNNNNNNNNNNNNNNNNNNNNNNNNNNNNNNNNNNNNNNNNNNNNNNNNNNNNNNNNNNNNNNNNNNNNNNNNNNNNNNNNNNNNNNNNNNNNNNNNNNNNNNNNNNNNNNNNNNNNNNNNNNNNNNNNNNNNNNNNNNNNNNNNNNNNNNNNNNNNNNNNNNNNNNNNNNNNNNNNNNNNNNNNNNNNNNNNNNNNNNNNNNNNNNNNNNNNNNNNNNNNNNNNNNNNNNNNNNNNNNNNNNNNNNNNNNNNNNNNNNNNNNNNNNNNNNNNNNNNNNNNNNNNNNNNNNNNNNNNNNNNNNNNNNNNNNNNNNNNNNNNNNNNNNNNNNNNNNNNNNNNNNNNNNNNNNNNNNNNNNNNNNNNNNNNNNNNNNNNNNNNNNNNNNNNNNNNNNNNNNNNNNNNNNNNNNNNNNNNNNNNNNNNNNNNNNNNNNNNNNNNNNNNNNNNNNNNNNNNNNNNNNNNNNNNNNNNNNNNNNNNNNNNNNNNNNNNNNNNCACCAAGAGAGAUAGAAAUCCGAGCUGCCAUAUCGUGGGCUUACGUCCGACUCCAACAACAGGAAACAUUGGAACCGAAUGCCAAUCGCUGAGCUACCACAGACUCCGAAGCCAACAACAUGACCAGGAAACCAACUCAAUUCGCUGGGACUUACGUCCACUCCAACAAACCAAGACAAGGCAAACAGGACUAACUGCCAAUCCUGGACUUACCAGUCACGACCCAACACAAGAGGCACAAAGGUUGAAAAGAACAAAAGGGCGCCCGGAGAGAUCAGCUCAAUCUCCGCCUAGCGUACUAUCUGGUAUGAGAUCAGGGCGACGUAGUUCCCCUACAAGGGAACGGAUAACCUAACCAGAACAACCGGGAAAUACAAACUAAAAAGGAAAAAUUAGCAACCUUUAUCCUUCCUUUUGUGCGUGGAUCCCGUCGAGUACGACAGAUGCGUAGGGGUGCUAAUACCUUCCCUUCGCAUAACCGACUCCCGAUCCCAUCUUUCUCUGGUCGCGAGACCAUGUUCUAUCCAGGUUUACUUCGAGCAUUUCCUUUCCCUCUUUUGGGAUAAAUAACGCACGGUGGCGGCUCUGUUGUUUUGUUUUCCCGCCAGUUUUUCGCGUAAUGCGACAACUGGCGACUCUGCUGGGGAUACUAGAGAAGUUGACCUCUUGCUGGUCCAUCUUCCCUAAGCGAGUCUCUCCUAGCACUCUCUAGGAUAGGGUUAGGUUGCUUGUGUUGCUCUAUUUAUUGCAUUUAUGAUUAUUAUGUUGUAUAUAUGUGCAUAUCUGUUUGCAUACAUCAUACUGUCAUCAUGUUGGAUUCUGUACAGGUGGUUCCUCUGAUUUGGGGUGGGUGUUCUGAGUGAGGCCCAAUACCCAGGCCUGAGUAUACACCUAAGAUUAGUGUGGUCUCAUGUUUCUUCACAUGUUGUACGACAUGAUGAGGAGACGUGUCACCACAGCCGGAUGAGGUUCAUCUGAGAGAGUCCUUCCGGGUGGAGUUAUUCCGCUUAGGUCGGAUUACCUCUUAUGAGCUGUUGACUUCGGUGACCGAUCUUUCCCGGAUCUUUGGUUUAGACGAUCUUAAGAGAGCUGCAACGGCACACCCGAAAGGCAAACCCGUUGAGUAUCUUUGCCCGAUUGUCGAGACCAUUGUCCGCCUUAGGAUGACCCUGUUAGAAUUCACCUGUGAGGGGAGGGUUUGACUCUUGCAAGUACAGGUUUCUGCCAGUGAUGUUGUGUUCUUUAUUUCUGGACGCCGGAGGUUUGACCCUGGUAUUGAUCAGAGGGUUCCGUUUAUUUCGGAUCCCUUGGCUGAAUUUGAGGGUACUUGCUCAGAUGACUUUGGGUUUCAGAUGAUUUGUGGUUCCGAGUUCAGGCCGAAGCUGUGAUCCUGUGCCUUGAGAUGCAUAGCCAACCAGUCAUAGUUGCAUCAUCUGCAUCAUAGCAUGUUUAUUUUCAAAAAAAUAAUGCAUGAAUAAAGAAAAAAGUUAACUCGCGUGUGCAUAUCCUUUUUAGGAUCAUUCAUGAUAAAAUAUAACAUCCGUAUCAUGCAUAUCAUGCACAUAUCAUUCUUGCAUUACAGACAUGCUUGGGAGAGACUUCUCACUCUGGUUCCUGACUGGGACAGGAUUGCUGAUCAUCGACCGCACCGCUACUCAACCAGACUCAACCAUCAGAGGAAUAUGGACCAGGUUCAAGCAGAAUUGGCUGAGAUGAGGGCAAACAUGGCCCAGUUUAUGACGAUGAUGCAAGGGGUUGUUCAAGGGCAAGAGGAGCUGCGUGCCUUAGCCCAAAGAUAGGAAACCGUGAUUCCGCGGUCCAACCGAGCGUCACCAGUGGGUGUACCCGUUAAUGAGAAUGUUGUUGCUGCUGCUCCCGUCAAUGACUACGCCGUAGGGGAUGAAUUGAGGGGUAUCAGGAUCAAUGGACAACCUCUUGCUGCAGAGACUGUUAAUGUCAGAGCAACCCGUGCUCCGGUUCGCCAUCCUGCUCCGCUGGUUGACCGACAGGAGGAUAUGUUUACUCUCCUCAGUGAUGAUGAUGAGGUUGGAAGAGUUGAAGAGAGGGACCGUAAAGUGGAUGCCCUUGCUGAGAAAAUUCGUGCCAUGGAGUGUCAGAACUCUUUGGGCUUCGAUGUAACGGAUAUGGGUUUGGUUGAUGGGCUGAGGAUCCCCUACAAAUUCAAGGCGCCUUCCUUUGACAAAUAUAAUGGCACUUACUGUCCUCGCACUCAUGUACAGGCUUAUUACAGGAAGAUCUCCGCAUACACUGACGAUGAGAAGAUGUGGAUGUACUUUUUCCAAGACAGUUUGUCUGGAGCGUCUUUGGACUGGUACAUGGAUCUGAGAUCUCCGCAUACACUGACGAUGAGAAGAUGUGGAUGUACUUUUUCCAAGACAGUUUGUCUGGAGCGUCUUUGGACUGGUACAUGGAUCUGAAGAGAGAGUCUGUCAGAAGCUGGAGAGACUUGGGUGAAGCCUUUCUGAGGCAAUACAAACAUAACCUGGACAUGGCGCCGAGUCGGACUCAACUGCAGAGCUUGUGUCAGAAGACUGGUGAAAGCUUCAAAGAGUACACUCAGAGGUGGCGUGAGCUAGCCGCAAGAGUGCAACCUCCGAUGUUGGAGAGAGAGCUGACUGACAUGUUCAUCGGGACCUUGCAGGGUGUGUUCAUGGACCGCAUGGGGAGUUGCCCGUUCAGUAGUUUUUCUGAUGUUGUUGUUUGUGGGGAGAGGACUGAGAGUCUUAUCAAAACAGGAAAGAUACAAGAUCCUGGCUCUUCAAGUUCUUUGAAUCCUAAGAAGACAUCCUCUGGGGCACCCAGAAGGGGAGAGAGUGAAACCAAUGUUGUACACCGUCAGAGGAAUGUGAACAGGGGACAAUAUCGUCAGGUUGCUGCUGUGACUAUUCCAGCAACUCAACCCCAACAGCAGAGAAGACCAACUCAGCAAUAUCAGCAUCAACAACAUCGUCCUCAGCAGCAGGCUUACCAGCCUCACAAUGGUAAUCAAGCCAGUACGAGUAAUGAGAGGAAGAAGAUCAUUUUUGAUCCAAUCCCUAUGUCAUACAGAGAGCUGUAUCCCUCUUUGAUAGAGCGGAACUUGAUUACACCCAGAGACCCGCCGGCUAUACCCGUCAACCCUCGGUGGUGGUGUAGGCCUGAUCAGCAUUGUGUGUAUCAUUCGGGUGCUCCUGGUCAUGAUGUGGAAAGCUGCUUUCAGUUGAAGAAUAAGGUGCAGGACCUUGUGAGAUCAGGGAUUCUGAGCUUCGAUGACUUAGGUCCCAGGGUUAAUCAAGCUUGAAGAUAACAAGUCCCGGGCUAGCAUUGACUUGUCUUCUGAAGUCUUCAACGAAAAGGGUUGUUCAAGAGCAGAAGCUGCUGAUGCAAGAGAUUCUGACAUUUGUCAUCCCUGGAGGGAUCUGUCGCAAUUGGGUCACUGUGGGCGUUCCUACAGUCGUUCAUAAGUCAGAGUAAUAAUCACUUUGUUUAAAAACCCUUCUCCCAUGCCAAAAGGAGAAGUGAUGACAUUGUUGGCAACAUUUGAGCAUACUAUAAAAGUAAGUUUAUUUUCGUACAAUUUGUAUUGUUUUUCCAUUUGUUUUCCCUUUUCGCUUUUGCAUGAAAUUGGUGAUCACAAAAAACCCUAAAAACAAGAAUAAAAGCAAUCUUUUCAUCUGCAUAACGAUUGUCUUGUUUGAUUUCCAAAAAGCUUUUCAUAACAAAUCUUUAUGCAGGUUGAUUCUUAAACCCAUUGAACAUAAUGAUCCGACGUCAUCUCCCAAUUUUGAAUUUCCUGUAUUCGAAGCGGAAGAAGAGGAUGUUGAAGGGCUUCCUGACGAGAUUUCCUGACUUCUUGAGCAAGAAAAGAAGAUCACUCAGCUGCAUCUCGAGAAUCAGCAGAACAGCCAACUGGGGCAUUAAAAAAAAGAGAGAAAAAAAGAGGAGGGUGCAAAAUCAAAAAGAAAGAAAAAAGAAAGAAAAAAGAAAGAAAAAAGAAAGAAAGAAACAAAAGAGAAACAACACCCUCAAAGUCCCAAGUUGACUGAUGCUGAAUGGAUUCAGAGUCGUUACGACCAAGUGAAUCAGAUCGAAAAGAAGAGAUUAACUGCCAUGUGUCAUGGUCAGUUAUAUUAGCAGAGAGUGAAGAAAGCAUUCGAUAAGAAGGUCAAGCCUCGUGUGUUCCGAGAAGGUGACCUUUUGCUCAAGAAAGUCUUGUCUUUCGCGCCCGAUUCCAGGGGCAAGUGAACCCCAAGCUAUGAAUGUCCAUAUGUUGUCAAGAGAGCCUUUUCAGGCGGUGCUUUGACACUUACAACAAUGGAUGGAGAAGCUUUCACUCGCUCCGUGAAUUCCGCAUGCCGUCAAGAAAUACUUCGCCUAAAACAAAAAAGCAAAAUAGCUCGCUAAGUGAACACCCCAGGGCGACUUAGGCAAAAAGGAGCUCUCGGUGCGAUUGGAAAACCCGACAAGGGCCGUAUCCAGGCAAAAGUUAGAGACAUUGUGAAAAAAAAGAAUUGCCCAUCCCGAGAUUGAGCACCUCACACUGGGGCAUCUAGGCAAAAUUAGGUUUGGCAAGUAAACUGCCAUCCUGACAAGACUGUGCUCUACAUCUGUCAUCCGCCAGGAAUUCUCGAUUCGUCGUCGACUGAAGCUCCGGAUACAUCGAAAUUCGGAAUGGUAGAGAAAAGGUCAUUAUGUUCAAUGUAGCCUCCUCCAAUAUAUAUCACCGAUUUCAAACUUGUACAGAUCUAUGGGGUCCUGCCAUUUGCAGACUACCAUUCCAUCACAUCAGUUUGAGCUUUUAUCCAAUUAUUUGCACUCUUAUUUGUUUCAACUCAACAAAUGUUUUGCACGUUUUAAUUGAUAAAGUAUCAUUGUUUUCAAAAUAAACAAAUUUUUCACAAAAUUGUUCUUAAACAAAGUGAACAUUCACAAUGAUGGAAGGAUACUUAGGAGAUCCGAAGUGCUCUCCCAAGGGUGGUAUGAUUACCAACAGGUAAGACAUUUGUUCGUAUCUCGAGCAUAACUGUAUCUUUUUCCUGUAGAACCUCUUAUGGUUUCUCCCCAGCAAGGUUGCUCAGUGCAGUGUUGGUUGAAGAUGUUCAUCUUUAUGUCCCCGGCAGUGCAUCAUUCUUCCUCCAAGUUCCUGUUAGCCCUAUUGUGGUGCAUCCCCAGUAGAGUGUUGUUUGAGCCCUAUUGUGGGGGCAUCCCCAGCAAGUUUGAUGUGGGAACACUUUUGUGGGCCAAUUCCCAAGCAGAGUGUUUAUUGAAGACUUCAACUUUCGUCUCUCCAGCAGAGCAGUCUUCUCCUCUCCCCGGCAUGGGUGGUUUUCUUUGGAAGAUUCGGUAUUUGGUGGGUUGACAUCCCAGUAAUCCGGCUUUCCCUCGGAUGGAUCCCUCAGCGGAGUUGUUGGCAUGAUGAGCUUUAUCAAUGCCUAUCUAUCUUCAUCAGAGAUCUGGUUGCUUCUUGGUAUCUCUGAUCUGCAGCAUGAGUUGUUGUUGUGGCGUGUCUGCCUGUAAUGCCUAUCUAUCUUCAUCAGAGAUCUGGUUGCUUCUUGGUAUCUCUGAUCUGCAGCAUGAGUUGUUGUUGUGGCGUGUCUGCCUGUAUAUUGAACUCUUCUCUCCGGUUGUGAUUGAUGAUCCCUCCGGAAGCCUAUUGUGGCCUUCCUCCCCUGCAGGAUGAUGUUGUUCCCUGAUGUCCCAAUCUCCAGCAGGUUUUCUUUCGCUCUCUGGUGACUUUGGCCUUCCCUCUGGAAGAGUGGCACCGGAUAGUUGAUUCCUGGACCUAUGUGUGUUGAGCAUGUCUGUUUGUCAGCAUUCAUCAUACAUUCCUCAUGCAUAAUGCAUACAUGCAUAAUCAUAGCAUUCAGGUACUCAUGUUGCAUCUAUUGCCAUGUAUCUGAUGAUGCUUGUCUCCUGCUAAUUGGUGAUACAGAUCUCCCCAGUAGAUCCUCCCCUAGCAGAUGUGGGUGUGUUUGAUCUCUCCAUAUAGAGUCGACCCCUUAAGUAGAAAGUGUCUGCCAUUUCCUUCUGCGCUCCCCACUGAGUUAUAUCCUCGUGGAUGACGGUUGUUUCCGUUCCCUCCCUGCACACAUAACGGGAUGGGUUUUCCCUAUUGAGUUCUUUCCUCAUUAGGAUGAGUCUUGAAUCCCUGCACACAUAACGGGAUGGGUUUUCCCUAUUGAGUUCUUUCCUCAUUAGGAUGAGUCUUGAUUCAGUAUGCCUUUUUGGAUCGAUCCUAAAUUGGCUUCCUUGUGGCUGUCUCUUGUGCUUCCAUGUGGUGUAAAUGAAUAGUUGCUCACUAACCGGCACUCAUUCAUCUUAUCCUCAGCGGAAUUUGUUGGCCUCUACUUACUACCCGAUAGUUGUAAGUCCUAUCUUUGUGGUUUUCUACCUACUAACCGGUAGUUAUAAAUCCCACUUUCAUCCCCUCGCAGAGGUAACCUUUGUGGUUCAUUCUGGUUGUUGGCGGAUCUUUGCGGUCUUCUAGCUACUAACCGGUAGUUGUAAGUCCUAUCUUUGUGGUCUUCUACCUACUAACCGGUAGAUAUAAACUCCAUGUUCUCCCCUUUGUGGAGUCAACCCUUGUGCUCAUCCUAGUUGAGGACGGUUACUGUUCCGUGGUUUUCUACCUGCUAUCCGGUAGAUGUAAUCCCCUCUUUGUGGUUAUCAUUAUCAAGUUUUCGGUAUUGAAGCGUUGAGGUUCAGAAUCGGUUCAGGCAAUACUCAUUCAUGGGACAUAAUCCAGACACGAUGCCUCCUCCUCCACCUCCGCCAAGCUACCGAGGACCCCGACAGACAUGAGAGAAUCCUGUGGUGCCACAUCCAAAUAACCCCACCAUACUCUUUCAUUUUCAAUGCAUUUCAUUUUCAUUUGGUUGCACAUUAUUUGUUCUGCUUAUGGGUUAACUCCUAAACUUGUUUCCCAUCAUCUUUAAAUGACUUUUAGGUUGCAUGUUUAUUUCUAUCCUGUUAUUGCCCGUACACUUUUGACAUGAUUCUUGUGAAUGAUCCUUUACCUUGCGCGCUUCCUCGUCUGUGUGGACUUGAUAGCGAUAUUUAUCUUUUUUGCCAUGCCUGUUCUUGCACUCUUACUGGCACUAUGGGGUUCUCUACCCUUUUAUUUGUGAUGUUGACAAAGGGGGAGAAAAUUGCAGAUAUGCACAAACUCAGAUCGGGAGUAUCAACAUCUGCCAAGUAUUUGCCAUCAAUCAAAAAGGGGGGUGUGUAUGUUGAAGAAAGUAAUUCUUUAACUGAAUAACUGUUUAUGAUGCAACUAUUGUGUGAAAUAUCCAAAUUGGGUGUGCAUGCAUUUACAUGAUAUAAUUCUGUGUUUUACCUUGUGAAUCAUUCCACUCCAUUUGUUGCAUAACGCAACAUAUAAUACAGUGAUUACUAAGAUUUAAAAUACUUUUAAACAGGUAGUUCAAUGUCAUUAUACACAAUAUGUUGUCAAAAUCUGUGCAUCGAUACAACUGCAGCUCUGGAUUAAAUGACAAAAACAAAUUAUGUUCCAGUAUGCAUCGGAUACACACGAGCAUGCAUCGUAGUAAGAUCAUUGUGAUGAAGCUUGCAUCGAUACACCGACUUUCGUGGUCCAUAUAAUGACCACUUGUGUCUAGCCUGUAGCUACAUACAUGAGCAUUAAAGCUCGAUACAGAUUAGUGGUAAAUACCACAUUGCAUCGAUACACGUGCACGAUCGGAAUCUCAUGCACUCUUAGAAAUGUCAUUAAAAAAUGUAAAAUCACACAUGCAUCGAUAUCAACAGACUUUGCUUCAGUCGAACAUGUUAAUCUAAUUUGACUCAAUUACAAACAUCUACGAUGCAUCGAUGCGAAUCUUCCGUGUUAAUCCAAACAACCGGCUAGUUCUUGAAGUAACAUAACAGAAUCUGUUUAUGCGCAGUCAAUAUAUACAGAGUUUUGACAGCAUUGCAAGGGUUUACGAUUCAUUGACAAAAAGACAAUGAACCACCAAGAAUCGGAUACAUAAGUGUUCUGGACUAGCAAAUUGUCAGUGAGACUUUAGGAGACCUUGGAAAGGAGAUCAUUUCACUCUCGAUACUUCUCAAUAAUUUUCUUCAAGAACAAUUGACUAUCGACAAUCAAUUGUUGUUCUUUUGGACUAUAAGUAGGCAUUGAGAUACGUUCGUGGUGGUGAUCUAAUAGAUCUAGCUGUGCGGUUGCAGUGGGAACGAUCGAAGGAUUAGCUGGGGUUGAAGGUGGAAGGGGUGUUUGGGCAAAAAACUACUGGUUUUCCUUCAAGACUGGACUGUUCGUGACCAGGGUUUCGGGGUAGUCACACAAAUUGCAGACAGAUUCGAGCCGAGCGUGCGUUUGCGAAUCGGGGGAUUUCGCAAGCGUAGGUGGCCGGCGGGAACCGGCUGAAUUGUUUGCAACUUUGAUUGGCAGGAAAAUCUUGAUCAAGCUCAGUCAAGUGAAGGUUUAUACAAGAAGACGUUCUUGGAGAUUAGAAAUUCUUCUUGUGUAUCAACCUUGUAUCAACGGAUUUCCGCGCAACUCUAAUUGAUAAUCAAAGUUCUCAAUUUUCAUUUAAGAAUGAGGGGAGACUACCCCACGCACGAGCGCGACGUGGGAAACUCCUUACAAUCUCUGCGUUAUCUGCUUUUACCUUAAAUUUCUUUAGAUUUUCAAAUUACUGUUUUGCAAAAUUCUGUUAGUGGUGGUGAUUGAUUAAAAUUUUCUGGACAGCAGUGAUAACAAAAACCUUUGUCAUACACCAUUUGCCUGUGUAUUCAUCAACACUCACACACAAACUGUUUGGACAAAAUCGGUUAACUUGAUUGUGUCAUUGGAAUAUAGUAUUGAGGAUAAGCGAGUCAUCUGUUAAAAAACCCAUCUGUGUGUAUAUAAUUCUGUACAUUCUCAUUAAAAUCACAGAACUGCACUUGCUGGUCACGGCAUUUCUAGGUGCGGUUCAGAAUAGACGGGAAGUCGAUCCGGGACUGCUUAUACGCUGUUUAUGAAAUCUACCUUAUGAUUAAACGUAAAAUACCGCUAAGUUUAAAAGAGGUGAUCUAUUCACCGACCCUGUCGUAUCACAUAGCCACACCGUCUAACAAGUGGUAUCAGAAGCCCGGUUAGCUGGGAGCUCUGUGGCUGCACUGUAACAGUUAUGGAUGUGAAAGGGGCAGGCCAACCAGCCACAGAACCACGAGCGCCCAUCGCCCCCCGCCGCGCCCCCCCCCCCGCAUCCCCAACCGGCCGCUAUAUAGGCGACGCUAGUUUUAACGCGUGAAUACUAUGGCUACUGGAAAGACUGCAUGCGAGUCCAUAAUCUGUGGAAUAGGUGUAUGGGCUUGGCCCAUUGAAACGGUCCGUUUCACAUUACAAUGAACCAAUGGCGAGUCUGGCGUUCCAUAGUACCUAACCAGAAGAUGAUUGGAAAUGAGGAAAGAUGGAAAAAGUGAGUCGUGUGAUUGGGAGCUCCGGAAACAUGUUUAUUCGAUACUUGGUGGUACUGAUAUAUUAUUCGAGUACAUAACAUUGCACGAGAGUUAAAGAAAUCGUGGACGUUUAGGAGUUGUCAUGAAGGCGCACUACUGAAGUAAAACAGUCCCUCAUUUAAACACACUCAAUCAAGAGUUAUUGAACUCUUUCGCAUGAAACAAGGAGAAUUCCAUCUCCGACAUGCAAAAGAGAUCACUAUCUAACUAACCGAUUGAAUGCUCUUGGAAACCUAUUUCCAAUGAAAUUGCUACUAAUAAAAUUUCUCAGGUGUCUAUAGCGGGAGUGGCCCAACCUAAAGUUACAGCAAUCCAAGGAAGCCAACGAUCUAUUCCCUCCUUCCCUCCCUCCCUCCUACAAGAACUUACGAUUACAAACACUGUUUGGAAAGCUGAAGAACAAGCAGCAAGCUUUAGAAAGUCUUGAAAAAUAUGAGAAGUAAAAGUAAGAAGGAAAAGGAGAAAAAAGAGACAAAGAGGAGAGAAGAAGCCAAUAGCUCUUGUGGCCUCUAGCUCUAAAAUCCUCACGAAAAGAGCAAAGCGACAAUGAUUUCAAGUAGUGACAAAGACACGGAUGAUGAAGAAAUGGGACUGUUUGUAAGAAGAUACAAUGAUUCAUUCGAAAGAAUGGAGUCAAAGCCAUGGUCCGACAAAAUCUCAUGAAGUUUCGAAAACAAUCUACAAACUCAAAACAAGAGGAAACAAGAAAAGUAGAGGAGAGGAUUCCUGUUUCAAGGUGGGUAAAUUCCGGACGUUACCAAACGGAUUGCCCUAUAAAGUAAUAAGGAUCAAAGAAAGGAUUUUCACCAAAAGGGUACAGUCAACCACGAAAGAGAGCGUACAUUUGCAUGGAAAGUAGAUAGCGACUCAUCAUGCACGCAAAGCUCAAGUGGUAUUGAUGAUGAGCGGCAAUCUAUGCCUCAUGGCUCACACAAAAUUCUGGCCCUACCACAAGAAGAAAACAAUGACAAAGGUAAAACAAGCCUACUACAAUAACUUCUCCUCUAUGUCAUUUUCGAACUAAAGAUAGCUUUUGAAAAACUGCAUAACGAAGCGAUUAGAUGCUUUUAAACGUUAAUCUUCCGACAACAGUAUCUUUUUCAUUUUUGGAAGGUAAAGUAAACAAAGCUGAAAUUGAGUUAGAGCAUUGAAGCGCAGUAUUGCAAAAAAUUCAAAAGAUAUGGAUAUUUGACGGAUGUAGUAGAGUUAGGUAUUGUGACGCUUGCUUAUUAUUUGGCAAAGAGGUAAACACUCUAAGGCUCUAAUUAGAAAAAAAGCGCUACACCUAAAUUACUUUAUGCCGUUGAUCCUAAGUUGUUGAAAAAGUCAUUGAAUCCCUCCAGUAUGCAAAAUAUCUUUUAUUUCUAAAGGAUGGCAAUGAACAAGAACAACAAAAAGUACCAUCUGUUUAUGUCAUAUUGUUGGCCAUGCUGGCAUACCAUUGAAAAGUGCAAAAUUUAGGGAGAUUUUCGUUGUCCUAAAGGCAUUUAUCGAUGGAAGCCAAAGGCAACCAUGUUUAGCACUUACCCACUUGGGACCCAAGUGGAAAAUUGGGUUACCACUUCUCGCUUUGAUGUUUGUAGAUGAGUGCCUUGCCUCCGCGGAUGGAGGUGUUUCUUGACAGCGGCUGCUCAAGGCACUAUGACCGGUGACAUAUCGGCUUGUCAUUAGACUUCAAGGCAAGAAAGAAGAAGGGAUAUGUGUACGUAUUGCGCAGACAACAACAAAGGAGCCAUACUCGGCAAAGGUAGUGUAGGUAAUCCCCUCUACCACACUAUUUCAAAAUGUCCAUUAGUGAGGGGACUUAAACACAAUUUGUUAAGACAUAAGUCAACUUAUGCGACAUUGGGCUAAUAAAGUUCAUUUACAAAAACUUGUUGCAUAAUUGGAACAUGUUGAACAAAACAUUGUGUUUAAAAGGUGUAAGAGUAAAAACAUCUAUAUGCUUGACUUGUUUGAUGUACCGUUAACAAAUGACUAAAAUGUCUAGUCACCUUGAGGAUUGAUAUCUUGGGCUUUGGCAUAGACGUUAGCUCAUGUUAACUUCGCAUUUUGUAAAACAAUGGUUGUAUCUAAGGAUCUAGUAGUUGGUUCUACCCAAAAAUAAAAAUUUUCAAAAAGACACCGAUGUGACCGUGCCAAAUGGAAAGCCAAAACAAGGUGUCGGGUAAAUCUAAAAAACGUAAUUUCAACUUCACGACCCCUUGGAGCUUCUCCAUAUGGACCUCUGUGAACCUUCUAGACAAAGAGCCUAGGGGAAACUACUAUGGCUUUGUAAUAGUUGAUGACUACUCUAGUUCCACCUUGGACUAUAUUUCCUUCAUGCAAAGAUGAAACUUUUUCUGCUUUCAAAAAUGUUUGCAAAAUCUGUCCCAAAAACCAAAAUGAAUUCCAAAUAGCUACAAUUCGUAGCGAUCAUGGUUGCGUGAGUUUCAAAUUAUCACUUGAGAAGUUUUGGACAAGUAUGGCAUUGAGCAUAACUUUUCAGCCCCUCGCACUCCACACAAAAUGGCGUUGUGGAGCGGAAAAAUCGGGUUUAGAGGAGUUGGCAAGAACAAUGGCUUAAUGAGGGUGGAUUACCAAAAAUACGUUUUGGCGCUGAUGUGUUAGCACAGCCUGGUAUGUCCUAAACAGAAUUUAAUUCGCCCUAUUUUGGAACAAAACUCUUAUGAACUUUUUGAAAGAAGAAAACCAAACGUUGUCACAUCUUCACGUGAUUCGGUGUAAAUGUUUUGUUUGGAAUAACGUAAAGGAAAAACAUGGGAAGUUCGAUGCAAAAGCGGAUGAAGUAUUUUUUUCUUGGUUACUGCAUGUCAAGUAAGCAUAUAGAGUGUAUAAUAAGCGUACUUACUGUUGAAGAGUCGGUUCAUGGUUUUUCGUUUGAUGAGUCUUAUCCGAAAAAAUGUCGGAAAGUAUUUCUUUUGAUGACGCAGGUGUAUCUACAGAAGAACAUUACUCAAGGAAGCUGUUGAGGAA